GCUUCUCUUCUCUAUCUGUAAUCAUAAUAAUGAUAAUUUUUAUUAUAAAAUAUAAAAAAAAUUACUUUUUAGUUUCUGAGAUUUAACGUAAUUAAUACUUGUAUCCCUCUAUUUUGGCGAUCCAACACUUAAGCUCCUCACUUUCUUUUCCGUCCAAAUUCGUAGUCCUUCAAUCUAUUUAAACCGUUUGGUCAAAGAGUCAAAGGUGAGAUAUUAUAAUUUUUUUCAAAAAUACCCUUCUCUCAAUGUGAAAUUUUUAUUUUAUUUUUAUAUUUUCUCCUGUUGCAGAAAGGGUAAUAAUAAUAAUAAUAAUAAUAAUAAUAAUAAUAAUAAUAAUAAUAAUAAUUUUUAAUGAGGUUAAUUUUAUCAAUUCAUGUGUCCCAAAUGAUUAUUUUGAACGAAAAGACUACGAAUUUGGACAGAAAAAAAGUGAGGGACUUAAGUGUUCGGUCACCAAAAUAGAGAGACAGAAAUAUUAAUUACGUUAAAUCUCAGGGACUAAAAUAUAAUUUUCCGUUCAUACUUUUGAAAUUUUAAUUAAUUUCAAUGGAAAAUAUUAAAUAAAAAAUUAAGAAAUUUACUUUUUUAUUUUAAAAAAUAUAAAAAUAUUAUUAAAAUUUAUUAAUUAAUCAUUUUAUUAAUUUUAAGUGUUAAAUAUUUUAUUAUUAAUUUUUACAGUUUUAAAAAUUUAUUAAUUGAUUAAUUAAAUUUUUAAAAGGUGAACUAAUUAUUCUUUUUGUAUUAAAAUUAUUUUAAAUUUUUUUAUAAUAUUUAAUAAAAUUAAUUAAUAAAUAUUUUAAAAUAUUAAAAAUAUUUUAAUGUAUUUUUAAAAUUUAGAAAUGAUUUAAUGAAUUUAUUCAUAACACAUAAAGUAAAUAAUAAUAGUAAUUUUUGGAUAAAGUUUUGAAAUCUUUCCCAAUUAACUUACUUUGCAAGACCUCAUUCACCCAUCUAAUAUAUUGUAAAAUGAAUAGCAAUCUUAUCUAUCAAUUGAAUUCUUUUACUAUAAAAUCUUAUAUUUUUCAACAUCCCAACAUAAUUUCAAUCAAUUAGCUACUAUUAUAAUACCAAUAGAGUGAAAUGGGGCUUGAAAAUUCCAAAUUUAAAAUGUACACAAGGAAGAAAGGAGUGGGACAAAAGUAAAAAACAAAAAGAAACAAUCAAUUGCAUGGCUAAACACAAAAGAUAAAAAAAGUGGCAAUAUCAUUUCAUCAUAAUCAUUAUACUUAAAAAGCUAUUUUGAACUCAUUAACCAUAGUAAUUAAUUAAUUAUUUAUUUAUUUUAUAUAUUCAUUUCAUUUUAUAAUUUUUUCACAUAUAUUAAAAAAUAUAAUUCAUUUUAUUAACUUUUUAAUUAUUCACCUCUUAAAUAUAUUAAAUUUUAUUAAAUAUUAAAAGAUAUUUUAAAAAUAAAAUAAAAUUAUAAUAAUCAAUUUAUAUAUUAUUAUAAUCUAAAAAAUAAAUAAUAAUUAUAAAAUAAAUUUUUUUUAUAAUUCUAAUUUUAAUUUUUUUAAUAUUUUUAUAAUUGUACUAUGAUUUAUAUUUUCGUUAAAAACUAAGGCUCAAAACUUGUUUAUCAUAAAAAAUUUUUCAAUUAACAAAUAAAAAUUUUCAAUAAAGUUGUUUCACAAAUCUAUAUUUCUAUUACUUAUCCUGAACUGAGUGUUGGAAAUUUAAGUAUGAGACAAAAAAAUACUUUUUUUUUUAUUUCUAUACCUAUUUUUAAAUUUAAAUAUUUCUUUAAUUAGAGUUUUCUUUGUUAAUUUUAAAAUUUUUUUAUUAAUUUUUAAUAGAAAUAUAAACGGUGAGUAUAAUUAUAAAGAGUAUUUUUAUUAAAAAAAAAGUAAAAGUAGGAUUAUAAAAGAAUAUAAAAUUUAAAAUUUUUAAGAAUAUAAAUCUAUAAAUAAAUAAAUAAUUAAUUAAUAUUAUAAUAAAUCUCAUAUUUAAUUAUAGAGUGCACAUCUGUCUAAAAAAUUUCAGUUAUAAUUACAGUAAUACAAGCAAUGCCACACAAAAUGGAGUGAUUUGAGCUCCAAAUAACCCCACCGAUACCUGCAUUCCCACCCAAAAGCACAACUCAAUAUGUUAUAUCUAGAUUUACAUUUCCCUUUCACAAAUCACAUUUUCAUCAAAAGAAAAGAAAGAAACCUUUUAGAAAAAGAAAAAGGAAAUUUAUUAAUUUUUUAAUUAUAUCUAAAUAUUAAAAAUAUAAUAAUUUUUUUUUGAAAUGGAAUAUAAUAAAAUUAAAUAAAAUUAUAAUAAUAUAUUUAUAUAUUAAUAUAGUGUAAACAAAUAUGAGCAGAUGGGACGAGAGGUACCGACGUUACCUGAGAAAAAAAGAGAGUUUGAAUUGUAAAAUUUGCAGGGAAUAUGAGCGGAUGGGACGAGAGGUACCGACGUUACCUGUUGACGAUGAGCAGAGGCGGACAAGGGGCGAAUAGUAGCUGAAUCAACUUCACCGGUAGGCAAAGGAACGGCUGGAUUACUAUUGAUAAACGGCAUGCCGCCGCCACUUUUAUCCGGCACCACCGUAGGUACAGUCAAUGGAGAGUUUGAGCCACUAAUGGGUUGAAGAGCCGGUGAAGAUACUCCGCCACCGGAAGUGGGUGAUGGAAUUGGAGCCGGUGCUUGUGGAAGGACCUUUAUGGAGAGUUUUUGAGAAGCUUGAGCGCAAGAUUUCUGAGAGCCAUUGUUGAAGGCGAAGUAGUAGAAACCAAGGCGUGAUGGGUACCACUUGAUUUGCAUUUGCCACAAGAAAUUACAAUUUGUUAGCCAUUUCAUAUGAAAAUUAGCUCAAAUCUUUCAAAGCUAAUCUUGGCAUAAAAAAAAUAAAAAUUUACAAAACUAAUUGCUUCAUUUCUAAUUUCCACUAGUUGGUUCCUCUAUAGGAGUUUUCUGUUAAUAUAGAAUGUUAAUAUAGAAAAUAAAUAAUAAUUUUCUCAAAAAUAUUUUGGAAGACGAUAUACCGUGUAGGAGGUGGAGUUGGGCUGAGUGAGAAGUGAAGCUUGAGUGAAGUUGCAGAGAUUGAAUGCUCUUUGGUUCUGGAAAAUGUAGAGCUUGUAGUGAUGCUUGUGUUUGAAAACUGAAAAACAGAAGGAGGAGGAGGCAAAAUGACAAAGCAAAGGAGUCAAAGAAAAUUAUUAAUAAUAAAGAAAAAUGCAUGAAUUUUUUUUUUAAAUUUAUUUUUGAAGUACUUACUGAUUGAGUCUCCUACAUGAACACUGGGAUGUUUCCACUCAGAAACACCAUCUACUAGGAUUGUUAUGGAGUGAGAAGAUUGAGAGAACAAGAAGAGUAGAAGAAGAAGAAGAAAAAGCAUGAAAGAAAUCUGCAUGGGUCUUAAAGAUUAUUGGACAAUUAGAGGCUUAGAGGGAGGAAAUCAAUGGGGGCACUCUGGGUCUGGAUCAUUAUAAACAGCAGAAGAUUUGAAGUGGAGAGGGAGAGAGUGUUAAAAUGUCAGAUGUGUUUGGCCUUUUGAUGGGAGGAGAGGAGCUUUGGAAGGAUGACAGAGAAGAGACUUUGGAGAAUGAGUUUUAGUAUAUAUUAUUCAUAAGAAAUUUUAUUAUUUAAUAUAAAAAAAUACAGUCUAUCGUUUUUCUAAAAUAUAUUAAAAUGCUCCUAAAUUUUAAAAAAAAAAUCUAUUAAUAUUUAUAUUAAUUUUAACAGUUAAUAUUUUAUUCUUUAAUUUAAUAUAAAAAAUAUUAUUUUGAUUUCUAUUUUUAUAAAAAAAUAUAUUAUUUCAUAUUUUUUAUAAUAUUUAAUAAUUAAAAUUAAUAAAAAAAUUAAUUAAUACACUUUUAAAAUCUUAUAGACAUUUCGCAAACUAAUGCGUUUUUGUACUUUUUUUUAUUCUUAUGCUGAAAGUUGGACGGAAUGAUUUUGUUUUGUGGAAAAUUUCAAGCCAUCAUCGACACCUUUAAAAAAAGGAAGGGGAAUGAUUAAAUAAAAUGGAGAGAAUGGGAAAAUUUUGGAUUUGUUUUGUGACGUGGUGUGGGCUUGGGUUUAGGGUUGGAUAUCCAAUAAAUAUUUAUAAAUAUGUAAUUAUGAUGUGGAUUAUUAUUCCUAAAUGAUUAGUUCUGUGAAGUUCUUUGGCAAUAAAUAGCAUAUAAUCACUUCAUGUGGUUGUUCUUUUUCUUGGGUGUGGAGGAAUCUUAAUCUACUUUCUUUCAUCAAAUCCCUGACAUCUUUCUUUUUUUUUUAAAAAAAAAAAAAAAANNNNNNNNNNNNNNNNNNNNNNNNNNNNNNNNNNNNNNNNNNNNNNNNNNNNNNNNNNNNNNNNNNNNNNNNNNNNNNNNNNNNNNNNNUUUUUGGAAAAGAAAAAACAACUAGAGACCAUUGUCUUCUUAGGAAACUCAGUUUUCCAGUUGCGAAUUAAUUUCCAAGAUUCACUUUAUGGGCGUCUUUCUCCUACAAGUUUAAAUUAAUAAUUAUAGUUGUCUUGAAAUAAGGCUAAGAAAUUUUACAAUUGUUGUUGUACAUAAAUAUAACACAUUGGACGAUAAUGAAAAUUGAAUCCAUCGGUUUGAAGUUUAUCUUCUCUGUCCCAUAAAAAAUAGUUUCAUUUGUUUAAAUUAUAAAUUAUUUUUUUAGGAUGAUAAUUUAUUAACUUUUUAAUAUACCUUAUUUACUAAGUAUUAAAAAAGUAAAAUUUAUUACUUCUAACUGCAAUUUAGUAAUAUAGUAGUAUGUGUAGGUGAAAGAUUUUCUUUUUAUUUUCUUUUGAUUUGCAACAGUGAAAAGACUGUUUAACUUAUACCAAGACAGAACACAUAUUUCUUAUAUUCUAUCCCAAUAAUUAGGGAAAAAUAUCAGCUUUUUUUCUUUUUAUUAUUUUUUUUCUCCUAUUGCUAUACAGAUCUCUCAAGUAAUCUUUUUUUUUACACCUUUUUCCGCACAUCCAAACAUGGUGUUAGCGGGAGGCCAAGACUAGAAUACAAGGUGCUCAAGCCUCGAGGUGGAGGGCAGUUGCUUUUGUUUUGAAAUUUCGAAGUGGGCCAAAGUCUGCAAAGAAUAAAAGGAUCAAACAAAGACAAAACAACACUGACAAAAGGACUACCAAAAGCUCAAAAAGAGACCUUGAAGACCAUAAAAUAAAAUAUACUGAAAGCAAUUGUACAACACAACAGAUAGUCUUGUUAUAAGCAUUUAUCCUUGCUCCAAAUUCAAUCUCAACAUAUUUCUAUUUGCAAAAUCAUAUCCAACAGGAAACCGUCGUCUUUUUGUCAUGCUCCUGUAUAAAAAUCAAAGCUGCUGAUGACAAACCCAAUUCAGUUCACUUGUUGGAAUGAUUGCCAGCAAUCUCAUUUCUUUUUAACAAUGCCCUUCAGCAUGCCGACUACACAAACUAUUACAGCAAGCAACUUUUCUAGAAUGCCCCACCAAAGGACCAUUUCUUACAUCAUUAUACACUAUCAUCACCCACAUAUGAGAGAGAGAGACAGAGAGAGAGAGAGAUGCUUCAACACGACAGCUUCAGUUCACAUGAUCAGACACAUGCACCAAUUUUUUUUCCAGGAAAUUAAUGCAGCAUGAGCUUUUACUAUAAAUAGAUACCAUCCGCCAAUUUUACAUUUUAUAUAAAAGCUAUCAUAAGUUGCCAGCACGUAAAUGGGGUGUGCAGGUCCAGAAUUUGGAAUUUCUCAACCCCUCCAAACACCUCUCUGUUUUCCCCUUACAAUAGCAAUUGGGAAGCACCAAGUUUGGCAUUGCUUGCUAACUCGACAAAUAACUAGAAUAGAACCUAGACCCUCUAACAUCCAUCUUAGCAUGAUAGGCCUUCCACAUAUGCAGUUAAACAAGGAAUUUGCUUUCAUAAUUCAGGUUGCUAUGCCCUUGUAUAUUAGUUUUGGUAAUUAAUUUCAGAAGCCGCAAUUUCUUUCAGAAAAGAAUCAGGUACCUAGUUUUGAAGAAAAUGGAUUUUUAUGCCAAGAAUACUGCUUUUUUCAUUUACUCUCCAUGUCAGCAAACAGUAUCUGUCUUCAUCUCACACUUUGAGAACAUAUAAUCUUACCACUGCAUGGAGUGAACUCUCCGGAGCCUUCGGGGUGGUCUUCUCUUCUCAACAACAGGCACCACUUUCUCCAUAAGCUGCAGGAGAAAAAAUACAUAUAAAUUAAUGGGGAAAAAGAAACGUAACCAAUAAGUAAUGGUUUAUGCUUCACUAUCCUAUUUUUACCAUGUCUGCUCUCCAUCAUUUUUAUAUGAUCUUGCUUGCCAAAUCUCCGGAAGAUCUUAUGCAUGUAUAAUGUAUUACCUACAAUUCUUUUCUUUCUUUACAUGGUCCUAAUUCCUAUGAUUCUAAAGAAAACGUUUAUACCCAUAAAAAAAAAAAAAUUAUAUACUCCACCUGUAACUCAUUUAAAUAUUUUCUUAUUUUCAUGCUUUCAUACUUAUCAACGAAAAUUUGUUUGCUGCAAGUAGAAGUUGCUCAUGUAACAAAAAUAGUUGAAAGUUUGAUUACAAAAUUUCUUUCAGUAUCUACAAGAUAUAGAAAGGGGAUUUCAAAUGAUACAACCAGCAUUUCAGUACUGAAAGUAGUUUGCUUAUUUCCGGCAUUUCAAGAUUUAUGAAUCUGGUUUUUAACCUCCUGCAAAGUUAGAUCAGCAACAUUCUGCUAGAAGUGUAAAAAAUUCUUGUUCCCUCUUUAAAAUUAUUACACAGUGACUAAUCUCUGCCUUCAUUAAUUACCAAAGCUCUAAAAUGUUUUAUAGUUGAGAAUCUUAAGGGCACUAUUCCUUUUCUGCAUCAAAACCGAUGAGAAAAGGACUUGCUUUCAGAUGUGAUGACCAUCUAUAGGAACUAUCAAAACCUACUCAGGGUCUAAAUAAACCAAACUGUUCCUAAGCUAUUUGAAGUUCAGCCCAACUGAGCUCAACUCAAUUUCUAAACAAGUCAAGGUUGAGCUUAGUUUUUAGCCUCUUGAGCUCCACAGUAUUCGGCUAAUUAAGACUCGUGAGCUUGACUAAUUUUCGAGUUCAUAAGCAGACUUGUGAACAGUCUCGUUAAACAGGCAGAGAUUAAUAUCAUAAAAAAAUUAAGCUCAAACUUCACAUUAAUACUUGACUCGAGUUCGAAAUAAGUAAAACUCGAGUUCAGCUCAAAUUCAAAAAAAUUUUAAUAAAUCAAACUUGAGCUCUCCAAAACUCGGCUCGACUCAAUUCGCUUGCACUUUUACCAACUUAUAAAGGAACUCAUUCAGAACAAAGCAUCAAAAUGAAUUCCAUCUUGUACCAGCCAAUUUUAGAGGAAUUGUUGUGCUAAACAAAUCUAUAUCUUCCCAUUAAUCUUUAAGUUCAGUAUAUCGACACAGAGAGAGAGGGAGCAUAAGUCACCAUCCCUUUUUGAUCUUAAUAUUUUCAAGAACGAAAAAGUAAGGAAUGGCACAUUACAAAUGCAAUUCAAUUUCCAAAUAACUUUGUCCUUUAAUUUUUUUCUUUUCAAAAGAAGAAGAAGAAGCAGAAGAAAAGAAAGGUUGUCUACCCUUGAGCCUUGAGCAGUUUGUGUGCUUCUAGUUAGUACAUAAAACAGACAAUUUGUCGCAUGAUUACAAACACCUGUGAAAGCCUCUAAAUAGGUAUCCUUAAAGAGCCUAUAUUUCUAAGUGAAGUUAAGCUACUCAAAUUUACCUUAUUUUUUUCCUUAUAAAAUUUAGACACCUUUCAAUUGUGUUGAUAAAUAAUCAUCUCGUACACACAUAAACACAACCUUGUGUAUAUCACUCAGUCAAAACUCAGAAGCCCACACAAUCCCAAGAAGAACCAUAACCAAAUUCCUUCUUGUUUGUCCUUAAAUGGGAAAGAUGUGCAUUCAUAGUGCCCCUAUGAUAGACAAAUAAAAUCUGCGCUGAAAACAUGUCUUUUAAAAGUUAAAAUCUGUGCUUCCUUCUCCUUUUCUCAUGCAUCUGAAUUUGUUUCUGCAGUUAAUGCCUAAUAAUCCAGUAUCAACUAGUCCUUUAUCUCAGUCAUAAACUACAACAUGGUUCUCCUGUAUUUAUUUAUCAAUUAUUCUGGAAAAUUUAACCUAAUCUAAUUGUAAGCAUUAUCCAUAUUUCAGAAGAAAUGCAACAUCCAAGUAAUAUUAAUACCUGUUUGAACCUUUCUUUAGUCCUCUCUUCCUGCACAACAAAUUUCUUUGGUCAGAAAACAUAAAUUACUUAUCUUAGGACAACUAAAUCAUCAAAUUGCCUAAACCUCAGUAGAGUAAACCCAAUACAUAGAGAUCAUAGAAAUAAUAUUAAACAAAAUAAAGCACAUUCUCUUUCAUACUUAUUGAUAAUUAAGGAUACAGUACAACAUACAAAUUACAAACCAAUAGAAGAAACUAAAAGGCAUAGCAACGUUAUUUACUUGAUCCAACCAAUUUUAAAUAAGCAGAAUCAAAUAUUAACUUGCCUGCAAAACUGCAAAUUAAAUGAAAUGCAGUGUAUGCUUGGUAAUGUUUAACUUAAAAACAAUGACAAGUGUUGUAACUGGCAGUAAUUGAUGCCAUGACAGUAUUAUACUUGAGCAAACAAAACUGAAAUACUCUAUCUUCCUUCAUGCACCCAAAGAAAUAAACUAAGUUGCUCAACAGCACAGCAUGCAACCCUAGCCACUUUGAAGAUUGGACCCCAGGGAAUUACUAUUUAAGAUAAUUCCCUUCAAAAUAGUGACCUAAGUGCCAUGAAGGUCUUCCAUAUGAACGCCCAACCUGUGUGAAUUGAUUAUACUGCGAGUCUGUGAGAGCGAGUACAUCAACACAAUAAGUAGAGAAAGCAGGAAGGAGGAAUGGAGCAGUUCAGGACUCAGGAGGUAGGGAAAAAGUAACUAACACCAAUUGCCAAAUGAAUAAUAAAACCAUGUCCAACGACCUCAGGAUUUGAGUUAAACACCAGCUAUAAAAAUACAUGUAUUGAAUAAACAUUAUCUUAACACAUUCACAUUUUUUGGCUGUUUCAGAAACAAAGUAGAAGAGAGCAUGUAACAAUAUUAAAAUUUUUGCAGCAUGAAAACAGAUAUCCAAAUGUAGCUAACAUUAAGGCAACUGGUCAGAGAUGUAAAAUGGUAUACAGAUAUAUUUACUUUUCUCAUCAAUGACUCCAAAAGUUUGAGAAAAUCAUAGUAUUUAACAAUCUAGGAGAUAUUAAAAUAAAAACCGAUUACACACUAGUUUAAUUUAGAACAUCUCCAAUGAAUAACAAUGAGAAGAAAAUUAGAUACAUUGGUUCAGUCAGAUAAUAUGGAGAAUAUGAAGUCAACAUCAAUAGUUGAUGGCACACCUCAUUACUUGAAUGAUGGUAUGCUCCACUUCAAAGUAAGCAGCCAAACCUAUCCCAAAGUUUCUGUUUCUUCCUAUAGCUUGCCUACAAAUUAUUAAGUCAGCAAAUUGAUAAAGCACUAGUUUAAGGCAUUACCUUGGAUCCAUUGCAGAUAGAGUAAGUCAAUUCAUAUUAAAGUUGCCCAAGGGACCAUGGCAACAGGAAAAAAAUCAAAAGCACAAUUUUUUGGCAACAAAAUAAUGGCAAAACAUUGAAAUAGCGCAAGUGGCUACCUUCAAAAUGCCAACUCAGAAAGUUCAAAUAAAAAAAAAAUGAAGUUGCUCUUUUAUAUUUGUUAUUAUUAUUUUAUUUUAUUUUUGCAUUAUCUCAUAGCUUAGCAAUAAGUAUUUCUCGAUUCUGAAUGCCAUAGAAAGAGAAUGUGUUAACUAUCUCCAUGACAGUCUAAACUAGACGUGUAUGUGCUUUGCAGCAAAAGAUUAUAUACACCUUAAAUUACAAUUUUCCUAAAACCAAUUACAAUGAGAAGUUACCUUCUCUUUCAGCAACCGCUCAUUCUCCUCCUCUAGCCUCACUGCCAAACACUCUAAUUCGACUUGAUAAGCCUAAAAUCCAGAUCACCACAAUUUAGGAAGAGAAUGUGCCUUGAAUAUCAGCCAAAUUCAAUAAAAAAACAACAAAAGGAAGACACAACUCAGCAUUUAUGCAAACACAACAUUUCAACUUACUCACCCGCUUCCUCUCUCUAGACCUGGCAGCUGACUCCCUAUUCUUGAUCAUCCUUCUCUGUCUUUGUUGUGCCGCCUUAUCUAAUGGUUCCAUUAUGGUAGUCCUCCCUCUUUUUCCCCUGCCUACACCACGUCCCCCUCCUCCAACAACCCCAUCCGCUCCACUUCCAAAUCCAACAAUCGAUCCCUCUACUUUAUCCAACAUCUGGAACGCACUGGGUGGAAUGGGAUCAAACGCAUAAACUCCCCCACUCAACCUCUCUGGAGGCGGCAUCUUGACCUCAUCCUCCUCCCCAACGUCCACCGCCCCAGCUUUGGCCAGAAAAUCCUCCAACGUCAUCAUCUCAUCAGGUUCCUCCUUCAUCUCCUUCCUCCCGGAGACAAUUUCCCUCCAUACAUCGUCCACGGUUUUACUAGCCUGAGGAAGAACACCGUUCAAUUCUUGAUUAUUGCUACUAUUACUAUGGUUUAUCUCAAUUGUCGCCGUUGUCACUGCUGGCGACGGUUGCGGUGGUGGUGUUGCCGGGAGAAGAGGAGCAGGGGUAUCAACAAGAGUAAUUUGAGCGUCAAGGAGAGUAGACUCAGCAGAAGGAGUGGGGUAGGCAUUACGCAGGAUGCCGUCGACGGUCAUUGUAGUAACCGCCGAUGAAGACGACGAUGGCGUAAGAUUACGAAAGUUGCUUUUAAUUUGAUCAGAAGAAGAAGAAGAAAAAGCAUUUAGUGACUUUGUUGAAGAAGAAGCAACAGAUACAGAAGCGGCAGCAGCACUAGCAGAAGAAGAAGAAGAAGAAGCGCGUCGCGAUCGAGCUGUUGCUGAUGAUGAUGUCAGAUCCGAACUUUUCGGUUUCGACGACGCCAUCACCUUCGACGACGCCAUAUUUAUUCUAAAUUUCCUGCACUUUCUCUCAAGAAUUUCCAGUUACCGGAAUUUCAAUUUUCGCCUCCUUCCCACUCCGUCAUGUCCUUGCAUCUAUGGAAUUUUUAUUUUCUUUUUGGUCUGUGUACAGUCUAAGGUUUUUGGGUUUUGGGGUUUGAUGCUCUGCUAGUUUGUUGGGAUCAGGGAGACUCAGACUGGGCUUCAGAGAGCGUGAGGGUCAGCGCGUGGCGAAAUUUGUUUUAUUUUUAGUAUUAUUUUUUCAUUCGAGGGCUUUGACUCGGUGUCUUUUUUUGAAAAAAAUAUAGAAGAUUGGAGAAGGGGCUAAUGUGACGGGGAGACGUGUGGUGGCUGUGACAUAACUUUCAGGUAAUUACUUUGGAGGUAUCUAUCUACCUGAAACGUGAUUGGUUUGGAUUGAAUCUAUUGAUGUCAUGAUGUUUGGAUUUGAUUCUGAUUGGUUUGUACUUUUUCUCAAUGUAUUCCGUCUUUGGAAGAAAAAAGGCGAUCGAGUAUCGGAUGACUGUACCUCAUUCUAAAUGUGUGUCGUUUCGUGUAAUGUUGGGCUGGUUAAAUAUGGACUUAUUGAUUUCCAUAUUUUAUAUUAAAAACACACAAAAAAAACCACGUAGAAAUGAUGAAAUUACAAGAGAUAGCAUUACGUAAAAUAAAAUAAAAUAAAAUAAAUUCACAACCUGUGAAAAGGAAGAGAAUAGGUAAAAUAAAAUAAUAAAAUUUUUUGAAGUCUCGAGUUUAAAUCUAAGUAUGUGGUAUUUUUAAAUAUUUUAAAAAAAUAUUUUAUCUUUUUAAUGAGUAUGUUCAAUAUAAAUUUGGAUUAGUUAAAUUAAUAGAUUUUUUUAAAAAAAAAAGAGAAUAGAGAGCAGAGAAUAUGAUAAAGAAAGUAUCGAUGUUUGUCCUAAAAUUCUCGAUUUUAUCAAAUUGAUAUUUAGGUUUAAUUUUUUAUUUUUUCUAAUGAUGAUUUUUUUGUUUGAUUUAGCUUUUUCUUAUAUUUGAGUAGGAGAAAGAAAAUUUUAUUUUUUUAUACUUUCUAAUGUUUACUCUUUUUCAAUUUCCCUUGCUGAAGUGGUAAUAGUGGUUUUGGUUGUUUUGUUUUGUUAAUGUGGUUGUUCUUUUAUUUUUUUUUUGUGCAAACUUUGUUUUCUAUAUAAAAAUAUUACUUUUAUGAUUCUACAAUUUAAGGUACUUCAUUUAGUUUUCAUAAAAGAUUUUGCUUUCAGUGAUGUUAAUAUUUUGAGAUCACGGCACUAUAUUUAAUGAUCACUACUCUUAUACAUCGUUGAUAAAUUAAGUUCUAUUAAAUUUAUUCAUUAGUUGCUAUUUAAUUUAAUGAUAUGCUGCAGUCGAAUGCUCUUGUUUGUUUGGCUUUUCGCAUAUUGAUUUUUUUUUUUUUCUUUCUUUUGUCAUAUUUUUUAUGAUUUUUUUUUUACAGUGAUUGCAGGUUUUUUUCCUCUAUUUUCUUCCUUGUAUUUAAUGUUCUAUAUAAUAGUUAAAAAAAUUUAAACUUGUUCAUAUAUAAAUCCUUUAACAACACUUCACUGUUUAAAACUUCAUGUAAGCCAAUGGCUUUUGCAACUCCUGGAGGAUAUAGACAUUAAUAAUAAUCUAAGAGAUCAUCGAUAGGGAUGUAAACGGGUAGGAUAUCCGUGAAAAUUAAAUUAUCCGAACCCGAACCCGAUUUAUAUUAGUAAUAUCCGAAUCCGUUCUGAACCCGAUUAAAAAUUAAUUUAAACUAUCCAAAUCCGUACCAAAUCCGAUUAUUAUUACCCGAAUAAAAUCCGAACCCGUUUAAUUUUAUAUAUUUUAAUUAAUAAUUUAUAUAAAAAAUAUUUUUCAUUAAUAAUUUUCAUUUAAAAAAUCUAAUAUUUCUAAAAAAUAUUUAAAUUUAAAUUUUUAAAUAAAAAUAUAUAAAAAAUUAUAAAUAUUAUUGUAAAAUAUAUUUUUUAUAUUAAAUUAAUUAUUUAUAUAAACGGAUUCGGAUGGUGGGUACCAUGUACAUAAAAUUCGAAUUCGAUCCGAACCCGCAACGGGUAUUAUUUUUAAAACUUGAACCCGUCCCAAACCCGAUUAUAACUACCCAAAUCCGUUCUAUUAGGGUUCGGUCGGAUCGGGUACCCGAAAAUACCCGAUCCGUUGCCAUCCCUAAUCAGCAAUUAAAUCAUUUACAAAUCUAGUGAUUCAUUCAAUUGACAACAUUGAAACGUUAAUAUUACAUUAUUUUUAGUCCAGCCAAAGAUAUGUAAUCAUCCAAUUUAGAUGAAUCACCCAUGACAUCUUGUGAGUAUAAAGUUAUUCUUAGUAUACAACAUUCAAUCGUUUACUUUACUCUUCCUAUUUAUCUAUAUUAUUAAAGGUUACAAAUUAAAAUGGAUCAGUUCAGUUCCACCAAAAUAUAUAUUUUUAUUUAGAAACAUGUCAAUAUAACUUUUUAUAUAUGUUUAAGUUGUUAUUUUAUAUGCACUAAUACAAAGUACAACGAUAUAAUUUUAAGUGAAAAAGCAGCGAAAGUAAGAAAUUUAAAAAAAAAACAACUUCAAUUUCAACCAUUUGAAAACUCUCAUUAAAAAGUUGGUGGAACAUUUUAAUUUUGAAAAUUAUAAAAUACACAUAAUUUAUGAUAUAAAAUUUAAUAUAAUUCAUAUUAAAUAUAUGCGAUUAUAUUCCAAAUCAAUCAUACAAAUGACAACUUUAAAGAUAUUAUGUUUGAAUAUUAACUAUGAUUUAUGUAUUCAAAUCUAUGUAGGAUAAUUUAUGAACUUUUUUCAUCAAGACCAACAUCAAAUAUCCUCUUAGGUCAUCUCCAACCCUAUACACUAUUUUUUGCAUUAUUUUAGUGAUUUGUAUCAAAAUAAUGCAAUAUUAUCUCCAAUCUUCUGCACCAUUUUUAACACCAAAAAAAAUAUUCUAUUUAUAUUCUUUUCUCUUUAAUAUUAUAUUAUUUAUUUUAUUUUAACUUUAUUUAUAUAUUUCACUCAAAAAAUUCAUAUAAUUUUAUAUAUUCACUCUAAAUACUUAUAUAUUUUAUAUUUUCAUCCAAUAUUCAAAUAUUUAAUUAUUUUAUAAAUAAACAAAUAAAAAUAUAUUAAUUAUAAAAAUUAUUAAUUAAAUAAUAAUUAUAAAAAAACAUUACUUAAACAUUAAUUAUAAACAUACAUUAAUAAAUUAAUUUAUUAUAAAUAUUAUUUAUAAUUGUGAAUAUAUUAAUUUAAAUUAAAUUUCAAUAAUUAUAAAAAUAUAAAAUAAAUUAAAAAUAUAAUAAAUGAUGAGAGUGAAAAAAAAUUUAAAUUUAAUUGAAAAUAUAUAUAAAUUUUAAAUUAUAUUAUAAAUUAAAAAAAAUAAAAAAAAAUAUAAAUUUUAGAUUAUAUUAUAAAUUAAAAAAAAUAAAAUAAAAUAAAAUGACGUUGCUACAGUAUCACGCCUAGCAGCGUCACGCCAUAAGUGUAACACUGUAGCGCAACGUUAAAAUUCCGUUGGAUUUUGACGCUGCAUUGGAUGAUCAUCUCCAACGCCAAAAUAAAAUUUGGUGUAGCGUUCGAGAUGACCUUAUGAUCAUUCCCUGAUUGCAGUAGAAGUUCAACGAUAUCAUAGAGCACAUGGUUGUGAAGGUUUUUAAUUAUUUAAUGAUCCACCAACAUUUAAUUUAAGAAACUCUUAUGGGGGAGAUUACUAAAGUUGUUAUUUUAAAUAUCAAAGACAAUUUUGUCACUAAAUUAUAAAUUAAUUGUAAAUUGGUAUUGUCUUUAACAUAAAGAAUAAAUUUAUAAUUUAAAACUUUAAAAUUUAAUUGAUACACAAAUUUUAAAUAGAAAAUAACUUGUUACUAAAAUUCAAUAUGUUUGUUGUAAAUCACAUUUUAAAGAUUUUAACAGAAAAUUUUAGUUUGGUGAGAAUGAUAAUUGAGUACUAGAUAAAUAAUGAAGAAAUGCGAGAAUCACGUUAACCAAGAAGAAGACAAGUUUAAUAGCUAGCCAAACAUGUCUAGUCAAAUAUAUAAAUUUGGGAGGGCAGAAGAGGCCACCCAUCCUGACUCCACGACAGUUGCAUUAGCUGAAUUCGUUUCCAUUCUCAUUUUCGUUUUCGCUAGUGAAGGCUCUGCACUUGCUCUUGGUAUAUUUCAUUUCAUCUCAUUUAUUCUCUUUGUAUGGCUCUUUUGUCUCUAAAAUAAAUUGUGAAAGGUCGGAUUUCUUUAUAAUCUUUCUGCAAACGGUAGUUUUCGUCCUCACUCGAGCGAGUUAGUCUCGUUAAAGAAAGUUUCAAAUCAGAGAGAACCUGAAUUUGCCUCAGUAACUCGAGAAAGUAUAGGAGAACGCUAAAACUUGAAAUCGCCAUAACUGAAGCAGAAGAAUCAAGGUGCAUGAACUAUCUCCAUAAGCAUCUCUCACUUUCACUGGAUGACUCUUCGCCAGACAAGUACACCUGAGGACGUAUUCCAGUUUCAAUAAUAAUAGCUGGACGGUAAAUGAGUCUAAGAGUAUAAGGUUUUUGCUGUCAUUACAAAAUUAAUUAACGGCAAAUGGAUCUUAUUUGUAACGGAUUUAAAAUUUAAAAACUUAAUUGUUAAGUAAAGGAAUUAAUUUGUGGGUUUUACUAAAAUUUAGGAAAUUGACUGUAAAUUACUCAAAUAAAUUUAUUAAUAUUUUUAUCUUUUAAAUAAAAAUUAAAUACUAAAAAUAAGUUAUUAAUUAAAAAUAUUUUUUAUAAAAGAAUAAUUAAAAAAUUUUAUUAUAAAUGGUCAAUAAUUUAUUUUAUUAAUUAUUUUUUUAAUAAUUUAAUCAGUAAAUUUAAUCAUUAUUUUUUAUUUUUUCUCAUAAUUUUUUACGAGAAUUAAGAAAUAAAGGAGUAAAAUCUGAGAUAUUUACUCAUAUACACUUAUCAUCAGACUGAACUGUGAGUGUAUUUUUUCUCGUAAUGUUAAAUAUAAUUUUUUAUAUUUUAAAUAUAAUAUUUUUUUUCAAUGAAUAUAUUCAUGGAAAAUUUUUAAAUAAGUUAUUAAUUAAAAAGAAAGGAUUUUAAAUAAUUUUAUAAUUUAUAUAUAAAAAAUACUCUUUCUUUUCUCAAAUUUAUUAUUUUCUCUUCAAAUGGAGAGAAAAAUAACAGGAAAAAAAUGAGUUAUUUUCUAUUUUCUCUUUAUUUUCCUUGGCUUAGAUGACCAAAUAAAUUACAACAUCCAAUUAAAUUUGUACUACAAUAACUUUCUUUUUCUUUUGAUAAGGAUGUUGAAUGUGGAUCUUUCAUAGUUUAACUAAAUACAGUUAAUUAUUAACGAGAUUUGUGAAAUUUAAUAUUUAUUUUUAUUAAUAUAAAUUAACUUAUAACUAAAAUAUUUUAAUCUUAAGGUAUUUACUUUUUAAAACUGAUUAAAUAUUCUUAUUUAAAUUUCAAUUAUUCUUUAUGCAAUACUUACAUAUUAAGUCUUCAUUUAAUUUAAAAAAAUACUUUAUAAUAAAAUAUAUUUUUAUAUUUUUUAAUUAGGAUACUUAAAAAAAUUAACUAACAAAAAAUUUUUUUAAUUAAAAAAAUCAAACUAUUUUUUUAAAAAAUAACAUUCUCUUAUCAUUAUUUUGUUGAAAAAUAGUUUUUCAUAAAAAUAUUUUUUAAAUAUAAGUUUUUUUUCAGAUAAUCCAAAGCUAAAAAAUAACUAAACUUAUUCUAAAGGCUCUGUUUACUUUAUGGAAAAUAUUUUUUAAAAGAAUAUUUUUUUUAUAUUUUUUAAUAUUUGUGACACUCAAAAAAUUUAAUUAACAAAAAAUAUUUUCUUGGUCAAAUAAAAAAAUAAAAUAUUUUAAAGAAAAUAACUUCCUCUUUUAAAAAUAGAAAAUUAUUUUUUGCAUCUUAACAUCACUAUUAAGAGCUCUAUAUAUAAAUUUUUUAAUAAAUUUUAUUUUUAAAAUUAAAAUUAAACAAUAAAAUAUAAGUUUAAAAUAUUUUUCAUGAAAAUAUUUGUUUUAGAAAAUAUUUUUUAUGGAAAAUAUUUUUCAAAUACAAGUUAUUUUCUACAAAUAAAUAGAGACUAAGACUCCAUUUAUUUGUAAAAAAUAACUUGUAUUAAAAAAAUUAUUUUCCAUGAAAAAUAUUUUUUUAAAAAAUGUAUUUUUUAUUGUCUAAUUUUAAUCUAAAAAUAAAAUAUAUUAAAAAAUUUAUAUAUUGAAGUGUUAAUAAAAAGUCAAAUGAUAGUGAUUUAUGAUAGUAAGGAUGGAGUUGUACUAUAAUUGGUUAGAAUAUGUAAAAGAGGAAGUGUGAGGCGAUGGUGGGUGUCUACAGCAAGCAUUCCAAUACUCAAGUUAUAAUUUUGAAAAAUAAGAGAAUGUAAUAGACGAUUUAGAGUUUGAGUAGUAUAGAAAAUAUCGUACCUUUAUUUCUGUGAUUGUUUUCAUUUUGUACUGUAAAAAAAUAGAGAUAAAUAUAAUAUUUUUUAAAAAUCCGGCAAUGAUAUAACUGAUUACUCGAUAAAAAAUAUCACUAGCUAAUAAAUUGGUAAUUCCGCAAUUACAAAUGUGAUGGGAAUGUGCCUUGUAACGAUAACAAUGUGACAAGACUUGACUUAUUAUGGAAGGACGAGUCAUGAUGAUGAUUCAGAUAUUAAAAUGUUUGGGUCUCCUUUUACUCAAUGAGAUUGUAUUUUUCACUUGUCAGAUCUUGCCACGUGACUCCGGUUUUAUGGUGAUAGUUCAUAACUUAUUUUAAUGUAACAUUAAAUAGAAAAUGACUUUUUUUCUCAAAUAUUUUGAUAAGAAAAAUAAUUUAUAUUAAUUUUUUUAAAUACUUUAAAUGUGUGAAAAUAUAAAAAAAUAUUUUUUUAAAAAAUAAAUGGAGCCUAAAAUUUAAUAUAUUUAAUAUAUUAAUUAUUAAGUUUUAUAAUGUUUACUUAAUCGACGCAAGUUUUCCUCUCUGAUCUCUUUGUGACUCGAUACUCUCGCCUUUUCCUCUUCCUUAAAUCUAACUUUUUUUUCCCUUUUUCAUGAAAGACGAUCUACGUCAAUUGACUAUCGAUGAAAAAUAAGAUAUUGUUGUCCCUAUUAAGAACUUCAGAGAUAUUCUGAUCGUUACUUAUGAUUUCUCUAUGGUGGGGAUAUUUCUCACAUACAAUCCAAUCAAAUUUCAGAAUAUGUAGACCUCUUUGGUAGAUUUAUGGCGGUAAUUCUCGGACAGUUAUUGCAUUGAAGGAUUUGGUUCCUAGUUACAAGCCGAAUAUUUUAUUUUUGAUGGAAACAAAAACGAGUCUGUUUUUGUGGUUGGCUUUUCUUCAAAUUUUAUUGAUUCGGUUGUUACAGAAGGUGAUGUUCAAUGGAGGUUGACUAGUUAUUAUGGGUUUCCAAAAUCGCAACGACGACGUUAGUUUUGGAACCUUAUUCGAGCUUUAUCUCGUAUAAGCUCUCUUCCGUGACUUUGUUCGGAAGACUUUAAUGAUUUAUGCUCGAGAGAUAAGAAAGAAGGAGGAGUAUCUUUAUCAAAUUACCUUAUGCAGAGGUUUAGACAGGCACUUGAAAAGCAUUUUUGCCAAAUUAUCUUAUGCAGAUGUUUAGACAGGCACUUGGAGAACAUUUUUGCCAAAUUAUUUUAUGCAGGGGUUUGAUUCUAAAUGAUUGUAAAUUUUUGUUAAACUCUAUAACUAAUAUUUCUGUUAGAUGGGUUCGUCAUAAUAUUACUCUAACUACUCACACUUUGACUAGAGAAUCUAUCAAGUAUAAUCGUCUCUUUAUUUGGGAUGAUAUCGCUCUUUAUUUGAUGAAAUUUUAUUAAUACAAUAAGUAAUUUUGCUUUAAAAGAAAUUAUUUACUUAAUCAUGUAGACAUGCACUAGUUAAAUUCUGUUUGAAUCGGAUUGAAUCUCAAACAUUUAUUUAACCAUCAAAUCCAUUUAAACCAUGUUCACAACAAUUGUAUUUUACUUAAUUUUCGCACUAAAUUUGUUUAAGUUUUAUAUUAUAUGAUAUUGAUAAAUUUUAAAGUACAUUUAAAUCACAAUAAAACUUUUUUUCCCUUAUUUUCACCCACCAUAUUCAAUUAAUAUUUGACACAAAUGUAAAGACCUUUAAAUUUUAAUUUCUAAAAUUAAGUUUUACUUAAUGAAGAUCAACAACUUUAUUUUUACUCUUAAAUUUAUUAAAAAUAAAUGUUUUAAACAAGCUAGCGCAACAUAAAUAAUUCCUUGUUAUUGGUUAUACAUCCAAUUUAAAAAAAAAAUACACAUCUAUAUAUUUUUUUUUAAAAAAACCCACAAUUAAAGAGUGAAAGAAGUAAGAAUCAAAAUAAUAUUAAGAGGAAAAUUACAAAAAUUUACCAUGUACAUUUUUUAAAUUAGGGUCUAAUAUUAAAUUUAUAACAAAAUUAUAUGUUAUGAUUAUGCUGUUAACAAAUAAAAAAUUUUCAUAAAAUAUGGUUAAAUAUUAUUGAUGUAUUUAAAAAAUAAAAAAAAUAUUUGCGCUUCAUAAAUUUUCAGUUUAGAAUUUAAAAGUUUGGGUUGGGGCUAAGAGGAACAUGGCCCUGAAUCUUUUAAUUUUUUCUAGGGAUAUAUAUGUAUUUUUUUAAAAUUAUAAAUAAAUAAAAAAAAUAUUAUUAAGUCACUUAAUUUUAAAAAAUUUAUUAAUUUUUAUAAUUUUAAAUAUAUAUAUAGUGAUUUUCAAAAAAAAAAAUAUAUAUAUAGUGGUCAAGGGAUACACUCAAACUUAUUGAGUGGAUUACUAUGAGAUAUUUGCUCAUAUUACCAAAAUGAACUCAAUUAGAAUAUUACUAUAUUGCGUUGUCAAUCUUGACCGGGAUUUACAAGUGAAAAAUGCAUUCCUCCAUGGAGACUUGGAGGAGGAAGUGAGUAUGAAAAUCUAUCCUGGAUUUGCUGAUGAAAAAACACAAGAAAAAGUGUGCAUACUAAAGAAGGCUCUUGGUUUGAUCGAUUAAAUAGAACUAUGAUUUUUUUUUGCUAUCAACAAAGAAAUGUUGAGCAUACCUUAUUUACAGGAUAUGACACUGAAGAAAUAACUCAACUGAAAAAAUUUUUGACUCAGGAGUUCAAAAUUAAAAAUCUAGAAAAACUGUAAUAUUUCUUGAAAAUCGAGGUUGUUAGGUUAAAGAAGGAAAUCUUUAUUUUUCAGAGAAAACACAUUCUAGAUCUCUUAGAAUAAAUUUGAAUGUUAGGUUGUAAAUCAGCAGAAACUCGCAUUGAGAACAAUCACAAGCUAUAAGCAGGAAUUGAUGAAUUAAUGGAUAUUGUUAGAUAUCAGGGGUUGAUAGGCAGACUGAUUUAUCUUUCGCAUAUUCGACUAGACAAAGCAUAUGCUGUCAGCUUAGUCAGUCAGUUUAUGCAUGAUCCUCGUGAGUCUCAUAUGCAAACUGUUUUUCGCAUUUUGCAAUACUUGAAGUCUGCUCCUAGAAAAGGUCUCCUAUUCUCUAAACAUGGUCAUCUUCGCAUACAUUCAUUCACAUAUGCAUAUUGAGCUAGAUUCCUUGAUGAUAAAAGGUCGACUAGUGGGUAUUGUACACUUGUUGGAGAAAAUCUUAUCACUUAGAAAAGCAAAAAGCAACGUGUUGUUGCUCGAUCAAGUGCUGAGAUAGAAUAUAGAGCGAUGAUACAAGGUGUUUGUGAACUCCUAUAGUUGCAGAGAUUAUUGGGAGAAUUUUAUCAUGACAAUAAAUCUGCUAUCAGUACAACUCACAAUCUAGUUCAAUAUUACCAAACGAAACACAUAGAGAUUGAUCAACAUUUCAUUAAAAAGAAGAUAAUAAAUGGUGUCUUGAGAUUAGAUCAUGUGACUUCCGAUGAACAGCUAGUUGAUGUAUUUACCAAAUAGCUCAGCAACAGACCUAUUAUAUAUUGAUUUGCAAGUUAGACAUGUGUUAUAUUUAUGCACCAACUUGAGGCUAAGUGUGAACCAAUAUAGAAGGUUCCUAAUUAGGAGAAUUUAAAUCUUUGGGAUCCUAAUUAGAUUUAAUUUAAGGGAUUUUAUUAUUAUUAUAAAUAUUUCUAAUUUAGAUUGAUUUUUUAUGUAUAAAUACUCAAACCUUAUAAAGAUCAAUUCAAUUGGAAUAAAAUAAAAAAUUCUUCCUAAAAUUCUUCAUUAAUAUAUCACUAUAUAUUCAAUAUUCAUUGCAUCAUCUCCCCUAGUGUAAUCCACAAUGAAUUAUAUCAAGUUAAAUUAAUUGAAUUUUAAUCUCUUUAAUUAUUUUAUUUUUUAUUUUAUUAUACCAAAUAUGAGAAAGUUAAUAGGUUAAUAAUUAAUUUUAUUCUUAAUAUUGAACAAAAUAUCAUUAAUUUUUUUUAAAUUAAUUAUUUUAUUAAAGGAUACACCAUUAACCAUUAAAAUCGAGGUUGUUAGGUUAAAGAAGGAAAUCUUUAUUUCUCAGAGAAAAUGCAUUCUAAAUCUUUUAGAAUAAACUAGUACGUUAGGUUGCAAAUCAGCAGAAACUCCCAUUGAGAGCAAUCACAAGCUACAAGCACGGAUUGGUGAAUCAAUAGAUAUAGACAGAUAUCAGAGGUUGGUAGGUAGACUGAUUUAUCUUUCGCAUACUCGACUAGACAUAGCAUAUGCUGUCAGCUUAGUCAGUUAGUUUAUGCAUGAUCCUCGUGAGUCUCACAUGCAAACUGUUUUUUUUAUUUUGCAAUACUUGAAGUCUGCUCCUAGAAAAGGUCUCAUAUUCUCUAAACAUAGUCAUCUUCGCAUACAUUCAUUCACAGAUGCAAAUUGGGCUAGAUUCCUUGAUGAUAAAAGGUCAACUAGUGGAUAUUGUACAUUUAUUGGAGGAAACCUUGUCACUUAGAGAAGCAAAAAGCAAUUUGUUGUUGCUCGAUCAAGUGCUGAGGUAGAAUAUAGAGCGAUGAUACAAGGUCUUUGUGAACUCCUAUGGUUGCAGAGAUUAUUGGGAGAAUUGUAUUGUGAUAACAAAUCUGCUAUCAGUACAACUCACAAUCUAGUUCAACAUUAUCGAACGAAACACAUAGAGAUUGAUCAACAUUUCAUUAAAAAAAAGUUAAUAAAUGGUGUCUUGAGAUUAGAUUAUGUGACUUCCGAUGAACAGCUAGUUGAUGUGUUUACCAAAUAGCUCAGCAACAAGGCCUAUUAUAUCUUGAUUUGCAAGUUAGGCAUGUGUUAUAUUUAUGCACCAACUUAAGGCGGAGUGUGAACCAAUAUAGAAAUUUUCUAAUUAGGAGAAUUUAAAUCUUUGGGAUCCUAAUUAGAUUUAAUUUAAGGGAUUUAUUAUUAUUAUUAUAAAUAUUUCUAAUUUAGGUUGAUUUUUUAUAUGUAAAUACUCAACCCUUAUAAAGAUCAAUUCAAUUGGAAUAAAAUAAAAAAUUCUUCCUAAAAUUCUUUAUUAAUAUAUCACUACAUAUUCAAUAUUUGUUGCAUCAUCUCCCCUAGUGUAAUCCAUAAUAAAUUAUAUCAAGUUAAAUUAAUUGAAUUUUAAUCUCUUUAAUUAUUUUAUUUUUUAUUUUAUUAUACCAAAUAUGAAAAAGUUAAUAGGUUAAUAAUUAAUUUUAUUCUUAAUAUUGAACAAAAUAUCAUUAAUUUUUUUAAAUUAAUUAUUUUAUUAAAUGAUACACCAUUAAACAUUAAAAUCGAAGUUGUUAGGUCAAGGAAGGAAAUCUUUAUUUCUCAUAGAAAAUACAUUCUAAAUCUUUUAGAAUAAACUAGUACGUUAGGUUGCAAAUCAGCAGAAACUCCCAUUGAGAGCAAUCACAAGCUACAAGCAGGGAUUGGUGAAUCAAUGGAUAUGGAUAGAUAUCAAAGGUUGGUAGGCAGACUGAUUUAUUUUUCGCAUACUCGACUAGACAUAGCAUAUGCUGUCAGCUUAGUCAGUCAGUUUAUGCAUGAUCCUCGUGAGUCUCACAUGCAAACUGUUUUUCUUAUUUUGUAAUACUUGAAGUCUGCUCCUAGAAAAGGUCUCCUAUUCUCUAAACAUAGUCAUCUUCGCAUACAUUCAUUCACAGAUGCAAAUUGGGCUAGAUUCCUUGAUGAUAAAAGGUCAACUAGUGGAUAUUGUACACUUGUUGGAGGAAACUUUGUCACUUAGAGAAGCAAAAAGCAACGUGUUGUUGCUCGAUCAAGUGCUGAGAUAGAAUAUAGAGCGAUGACACAAGGUCUUUGUGAACUCAUAUGGUUGCAGAGAUUAUUGGGAGAAUUGUAUUGUGACAACAAAUCUGCUAUCAGUACAACUCACAAUCUAGUUCAACAUUAUCGAACAAAACACAUAGAGAUUGAUAAACAUUUCAUUAAAAAAAAGUUAAUAAAUGGUGUCUUGAGAUUAGAUCAUGUGACUUCCGAUGAACAGCUAGUUGAUGUGUUUACCAAAUAGCUCAGCAACAAGACCUAUUAUAUCUUGAUUUGCAAGUGAGGCAUGUGUUAUAUUUAUGCACCAACUUAAGGCGGAGUGUGAACAAUAUAGAAAUUUCCUAAUUAGGAGAAUUUAAAUCUUUGGGAUCCUAAUUAGAUUUAAUUUAAGGGAUUUAUUAUAAUUAUAAUUUAUAAAUAUUUCUAAUUUAGGUUGAUUUUUUAUAUGUAAAUACUCAAACCUUAUAAAGAUCAAUUCAAUUAGAAUAAAAUAAAAAAAUUUUCCUAAAAUUCUUUAUUAAUAUAUCACUACAUAUUCAAUAUUUGUUGCAUCAUCUCCCCUAGUGUAAUCCAUAAUAAAUUAUAUCAAGUUAAAUUAAUUGAAUUUUAAUCUCUUUAUUUAUUUUAUUUUUUAUUUUAUUAUACCAAAUAUGAGAAAGUUAAUAGGUUAAUAAUUAAUUUUAUUCUUAAUAUUGAACAAAAUAUCAUUAAUUUUUUUUAAUUAAUUAUUUUAUUAAAGGAUACACCAUUAAACAUUAAAAUCGAAGUUGUUAGGUUAAGGAAGGAAAUCUUUAUUUCUCAUAGAAAAUAUAUUCUAAAUCUUUUAGAAUAAACUGGAACGUUAGGUUGCAAAUCAGCAGAAACUCCCAUUGAGAGUAAUUACAAACUACAAGCAGGGAUUGGUGAAUCAAUGGAUAUGGAUAGAUAUCAGAGGUUAGUAAGCGGACUGAUUUAUCUUUCGCAUACUCGACUAGACAUAGCAUAUGCUGUCAGUUUAGUCAAUCAGUUUAUGCAUGAUUCUCGUGAGUCUCACAAUUGUUUUUCGCAUUUUGUAAUAUUUGAAGUCUAUUCCUAGAAAAAGUCUUCUAUUCUCUAAACAUGGUCAUCUUCACAUACAUUCAUUCACAGAUGUAAAUUGGGCUAGAUUCCUUGAUUAAAAGGUCGAUUAGUGGGUAUUGUACACUUGUUUGAAGAAAUCUUGUUACUUAGAGAAGCAAAAAGCAAAGUGUUAUUGCUCGAUCAAGUGCUGAGGUAGAAUAUAGAGCGAUGACAUAAGGUGUUUGUAAACUCUUAUGGUUGCAGAGAUUAUUGGGAGAAUUGUAUUGUGACAAUAAAUCUGCUAUCAGUACAACUCACAAUCUAGUUUAACAUUACCAAACAAAACACAUAGAGAUUGAUCAGCAUUUCAUUAAAAAGAAGUUAAUAAAUGGUGUCUUGAGAUUAGAUCAUGCGACUUCCAAUGAACAGUUAGUUGAUGUGUUUACUAAAUGGCUCAGUAAUAAGACCUAUUAUAUCUUGAUUUGCAAGUUAGGCAUGUGUAUAUUUAUGGAUCAACUUGAGGCGGAGUGUGAACCAAUAUAAAAGGUUCUUAAUUAGGAGAAUUUCAAUCUUUGAAAUCCUAAUUAGAUUUAAUUUAAGAGAUUUUAUUAUUAUUGUAAAUAUUUAUAAUUUAGGUUGAUUUUUUAUGUAUAAAUACUUAAACUUUAUAAAAAUCAAUUCAAUUGGAAUAAAAUAAAAAAUUCAUCCUAAAAUUUUUCAUUAAUACAUCACUACAUAUUCAAUAUUGGUUGCAUCAUCUCCCCUAGUGUAAUCCAGAAUGAAUUAUAUCAAGUUAAAUUAAUUGAAUUUUAAUCUCUUUAAUUAUUUUAUUUUUUAUUUUAUUAUACCAAAUAUGAGAAAGUUAACAGGUUAAUAAUUAAUUUUAUUCUUAAUAUUGAAUAAAAUAUCAUUAAUAAUAAUUAAUUUUAUUCUUAAUAUUAAAAAAAAUAUCAUUAAUUUUUUUAAAUUAAUUAUUUUAUUAAAGGAUACACCAUUAACCAUUAACCUUAUUUUAUUAACCCAUACUAAAUAUAUUUUACUAAAGUUGGAGCUUAUGAAUAUUAUUUAAUUUUUAAAAAUUUUUUAUUUGAAUUUAAACCGAAAUUUGUUGAUUAAUUGAGGUAAGAACUUAAAAAUAAAUUUAUUUGAACAUGAAUUAAAAAUUGAGAAGUAAAUUGAACAUUUUGAAUACUGACGUCAUAAGUUUUUUUCCCCAGCAGAAGCAUGACCAAUCCAGGCUUUGGUUUAGAAGGCUUGUUUCAUUGGGCCAGCCCAACAAGCAUUUCUAACAGAAAUGAAAUUCCACAAGUAAUUUAUUCUUUUCUCCGUCGUGGAUUUAAUCUCAUAGUAACUAUAUCAACAUUACAUCAGAAAGUCUUAAAUUUAACUCAUUCAAUUUUUUAUUUAUUUAAUUUUGAUAAAAGAAACAAAUUUUUAAAAAAAUAGAUAAAAGGUUCAAAUUUUUUAAUAGAAAAUAAUACUUUUAUUUAUUUAUUUAUUAUUUUUUAAAGAGAAUCAUGCAUGCAUUAUUUGGAAAAAUUGUUUAAUUUGCUAUCUAACUACCUAUUUCUUAAUUUAGAGACAAUCGUUUAAUCAAUUUAUUCAUGCUAAUUUUGUUUAACGUGCAAACACAUUAUUUGUAAUCAGGGUGAGCAUUCAUCAGUUCAGUUUAAAAUUAAAUCGAAUCGAAUAAUUUAAAAAUUAAAAUUUUAGUAUUUAUAAAAUUAAAUCGAAUUGAUUUUAAUUAGAAAUUGAACCAAACCAAAUCAGUCUGAUUCGACUCGAUUCGAUCAAUUUUUUUAAUUUAAACCAAAUACCCGCGACUGUGUAUUGAAUAUGUUAAAUAUUUUUUAUAUUUAAUAUUAAUUUUUAUUAUAUAACUAUGCUAUUAUUACUACUUUAAAUAAGGUUUAUGAUUUUGUAGUAAGUUUUCUUAUUAUAAAAGAAAUAAUAAAAAAUAUAGUAUUAGAAUAUAAUUUUUCAAUUUUAUUCACUAAUAUUUUCGUUUAAUAAAAUUAUUGUUAAAAUAUAUUUUUGAAAAAUUAUUAUAGUCUAAUUGUAAUAUAGAUUGGAAAUAAAAUAAACUUUACUUGUAGUGAGAUAAGAUUUCAAAAUUAAUAAUUUUUUUAUUUUUUUAUUUUACUUCAAUUUAUUGAUUUUUAGUAAUAAAUUAUAUUUAAUUAUUUAUUAUUCAAAAUAUAUGACUAAUUUUCAGUAUAUUUAUUUAGUAUUUAAUUAUUUUAUUUAUACUUUUAUUUUAACAUAAUAAAAACGUAUAAUUUACAAAGUUUUACUCUUGUUAAAAAUUUCAAUUUUUUUAUUUUGAUAAUAUUAAAAGUUUUAAAUUUUUUAUUUUAAUAAUAUUAAAAUUUUAAUUAUUAUACAUAAAAAUUAAUUGACAACAAUAGUUUUUAAAAUGUUUAAAUUUAUUUAAUAAAUGUUGCAUUUUCAAUAUUAAAUAUAUAUUCUCUUUUGAUAAGGUAUUAUUUUAUUUUAUUAUUAAUAGUAUUUACAAAAAUUUAAAAUAUAUAAAUUUUUAACAUAAUAAUUUCUAAAACGCAUGUAUAUAUGGGUAAAACUUUUUAAGAAUAAAAAAAUAAUUCAAACAUUAAGUUAAUAUAUAAUUAUAAAUAAAAUAAUAAUAAAUAUAUAUUUUACAAUAUUUACUUAAUCCUUUGUUAGCUACACUCGGUUUGGAUCUAAUUGAAUCAAAGCCAUUUAAAACCAUGUUCACAGCAAUUGUAUUUUACUUAUUUUUCACACUAAAUUAAUCUUUAACACAAAUGCAAAUAUCUUUAAAUUUAAUUAUAAAAUUCAGUUUUACUUGAUGAAAAUCAACAACUUUAUUUCUGCAGUUAAAAUUUGUUAAAAAUAAAUCCUUCAAUUUGAAAGAAAAUGAAAUAAUGCAUUUGGAUUAGUAGGGGUUUGGUUAUUCAGUGAAUUAGAGUUGUAUAUUUACUUCGUCGUUCAGUAUUCUCACAUUCUCAAGUACUAAACUUAGGCAAAAUUGAAGGACUUUGUAUUAAGAAUUAAUAUCAGAGGUCGUAGGAGUUACUGAUCUUGAGUGGUUGGAGCUGUGCAUCUGAUCAAAUGGGAAGUAAUGCUUUUGAUUGUCCAUUGAGGAAUUCAGAAGAGGAAUUGUGUCGCAGUGGCCAGGAACUGAACAAGAGGUUUGAGCAGACUGGUAGUGUUGACAUUUCAGCAAUGGUAGAUUCAGAUGAACAAUUUGAAGCAGGUCCUCUUCAAGAAACACAAAAGCGGGAGACAAUUUCGGGAAAUAAAGCAGGUGAUCUUCAAGGAAAACAAAAACAAGAAACGAAUUCAGGACUCCAGCCAUCAGUUCAAGAUAUCUUUGAAUCGAAAAAGUUGAAUGCUACUUCUUUCCCUCAACAAGGUUUGUCUGUUUGUUUUUUUCAAAAAUACUUUGGAGGCUCAAGUUUUUUUGACUUGCGUUUUACCCUAUCUAGAUUUUUGCUGGUCUUCACCUUUUUUCUGCUUUUGAGUAAUAUUUUUCUAAUUAUUUUGGUACUAUGUUGCAUUAAUAAAAUUGCUGGAAACUAGGCUCACCUGAAAUUUUGAGUUUCUGAUUGUGGAAGCUGUGUCAUGCUAGUUCUCGUGUGGAAAUAAUCAAGAAAAUUUUAUGCUACAAGUAAAAUAAUCUCAAUAGUGAAAAAGCUAUAUGUGCAUGUCUUGUACCAAAACGUGUGCUACAUAAAUGGGAUAUAUUGGCUACAUGAGAGUAGGAUAGGAGAUUUGGAGGUUAUAUCAAUUUUCAUAAACUCUGGUAAAGUAAGAAAAACUUAUAUUACAUGUCUUGCAUAUUCAUGGCUUACUCCGACUAACACAUUCACUUGAGUUUGAGAACAGAUGCGUCUACCUGAAACCACAUCUCUGGCUAGUUUUCCUGAAUUUAUUAUUAUUUUUUUGUGUCUGCCAGUGAGCACUUAAAUUCCACAAAAGGAUAGUAAGAAGUAUCGUAAACUAAAGCUAUAAUUUAAGUGAUUGUGAGGUAGUGAUUUCAAGAUUUUAUCUCAUUUGUGACAGUCUAAAUAAAAUACUGUAGAGUAUAAUAAAAGAACAAUUUGAACAUCUUGAGUUAGGCAAGCAGUUUUCCUGCAUAUCCCUCACGUUCUGUAUUUUAUUCAUUUCUCAGAAGUUAAACAUGUUCCCUAUGUUCUUUGCUAUCAUGGAGAAUCUGAUAUCUGUGCAUGUCUGUUGUGAUAUUCUAAUAUUAAAAUUACUACUAUGUAUCAAAUCAUUAUAAAUCCUUGCAAAAUAUUCAUGGUAGUCCAUCAUAGUACAUUUUUUUCUUUUUUCUUUUUUCGGUUUAUUAUGUCUGUUUUAUGGAAGGAAAACCUUUUAGCAGUAGCUGUAUAUUUAAUUGAGCAUCAUUGUGCACUUCUUCUUAAUGACUCUACAUAAAUAAUUUAGACCAUUCGCCUUCCAGUUUUUUUAUUGUACAUAGGGAAAUGGGAUGGUGGUUGAGAAGAAAAUUGCUUCUUCAAUUCUUACAUAUAGAUGGAUUUAUAUUUUCCCUCCCUUUGACCUAUGCUUGUUAUUUUUGGUUGAUUUAUCUGACACAGAUGCCAUAUUUCCUACACGGAUUGGGACCUCCUUGGUCCUUGGUCCUUGGUCCUGCUCCUUGUCCUUGGUGCUAUUCACACACACAAAUAUCUAGCUUUUUAGAUUGAAGUGAUAGUAUAUGUUCCUGACUAUGCUUUUAGAAACUCUUUGUUUGUUUGUUUUCCAUUCUUAACAAGUAUGUCCAUCCAAAUUCUCAUUUUUCCUUCAAAUAGUUAUUCCGCAAAAUUUUUGCAGCUAAUUUGUUAUAGAUCACAUAUUAUAUGUGGAGGGCUGAAGUUCUGUCAUAAACAGUUAAACAUUAAUGUAAGGGAGAAUUUUCAUGUGCUUCCUGACAUUAAAGCUUCUGAUAUUGAAGGCUUGGGUCGCUGCACUCCUGUGGGUUCUCAUAGACAUCCGCCAAUUGAUGACGAUGACAAUGCUACUAUCUAUAGAUCCAUAACAGAGAAGAAGACCCCAAGACAUGAGCUAAAAUUAGAUAAACUAUCUGAGCAUGAAAAGGUAAUUUAGCAGUGUCUGCAAGUUUUUAGCUUGUGCCUGAUCAUAUAUUUUCCUUUGCAUGUAUGCGUAGUACGUAGGACAGUAGUAGGAGAUGCUUUCUAUGCCUUUUCUUUUAUAGUUCAUAAGAUUACAAUUACCUCUGCAUAUUGCAUGUCAAAAUGUCAUAUGCUUUUUUCUUCUACAGAAUGACUUGUUCCUUUUAUUGUGGCAUCACAUACCAGUUUAGGGCCUGUCAUGGAUACAAAAAUGAGGACAUCAAUUUUUUUAUGGUAUCAUUACUUUACAAAUCAAAAGCUAUACAACUUGUGCUACCUUAUUGUCUUGUUUUAAAAAGUAUAUAUUAUGAAAAUUUUAGUUUCUUUGUGGCUCGUAGUUCUAGGUUUUUUUAGCAAUUUGAUGAGCAGUCGAUCUAUGAGGGGCUUGAUUCAGGAAGUUUAUCCUGUUCAAUUGUCCACAGCUUCUAUCUUUGUGGUUGGUUUUGUGUUUUCUUCCUACUGAUCAUGAUUCUUUCUUGUAAUGGUCUUCAGAAAAAACUUAUUUCUGGGUUGGUAAAGAUCCAAAAUGAUGGAACAGUGGAUGUUGAUCUAGCCAAAACUGCUCCCAACUCAGUUGAAGGGGGGACAUCUUUCUAUCUUAAUGAUACCUCUCUUGAAUCUUCCAAUAAAUUAAUUCCAAGGUUGAAAAUUGCAAUUCUUGUGGCUGGAACUAGAGGAGAUGUACAGCCAUUUCUAGCUAUAGCCAAGAGACUUCAGGCAUGUUCGUAAUACUUUGUUCAUUACACUGAUCCAUUGUUUUUGCUGUUGUUCCUGUCCUCAUGUUAUAAUCCCCAACAUGUCCUACAUUAAUUGCUCUAGUAUUGUACCUUUUCUUGUUUAAAAAUUUUCAGGUGUUUGUGUAAUAUUCUUUAUAAUUUUAUUUUUGUUAUGGAUAAUGGGUAGACCAAAUUCAUUAGAGUCCAAAUAUUGAGUAAGUCUUUUCAAAAUCAGUCAAUCAUAAUUAUUGUUUAGAUUAGAAUAGACAUGUUGAUUAUUAUUAUCUUUAUUAUUUUUUAGAUUAGGAUAAACUUUCUAAUAUUAUCAAUCUUUAUUAUUAUUUAGAUCAGGAUAAGCUAUCUAGUUAUUAUCGAGUAAGGUAGAUGUUACGGUUAGCUGCUUGUUUGGGAAAUUGUUUCCCACAUCGACUGAGUAGGAAAAUUAGGAAGGAUAUACAAUUAGCUAGCAAAAAUUAUUAAAUAACUUAGAUUAAUCAUUUUAAGUCAGUAGAACUUUUAAUUUGUUAGGAAAUCUUAUGCUGUAUGACUUUCACUGUAUAUGUAUGACUUUCACUGUAUAUAUGGGUUAAUUCAUUGAGUAAUAAAAACAAGCAUAUUAAGUAAAAAUACAAUUUAAGAUUCUCUCUUAUUAAUGAGUACGAUAUGCUAUUGUAUGACUUUCAUUAUAUAUAUGGGUUAAUUCAUGAGUAAUAAAAAUAAGCAAAUUAAGUAAAAAUAUAAUUUAAGACUCUCUCAUUAACGAGUCUGAUAUGCUAUUUUAUGACUUUCAUUAUAUAUAUGGGUUAAUUCAUGAAUAAUAAAAACAAGCAUCAUGAAUAAUAAAAACAAGCGGACUAAGUAAAAACACAAUUUAAGCUUCUCUCACAUUAAUGAGUCCUCUAAUGAGUCCCUAUCAAUUCAUCCCGUGGCGUGAUCCAUGACCGUAUUGUAACAAUUUUUAUUUAAUAUGUGGAUUUUUUUAAUUAUAUUUUAUGCAUUAUUACUUUAUUCUGGGAAAGAAGUAUCUGAGGUUCACAAUUCAGACCAUAUGUCCCUAGUCCCUAGUUCGAAACCAUAUGGUAAAAUAAUCCAUUGCCAUAAUUUGAAGUAUGUUUAAUAAUCCAGUGUUUUGUUGCAGGAAUUUGGUCAUCAUGUUAGGUUGGCAACUCAUGCUAACUUCAAAAGCUUUGUUAGGUCAGCUGGUGUAGAAUUUUAUCCCUUAGGUGGUGAUCCUCGGAUUUUGGCAGGAUGUAAGAGGUCCCUAGUUUAUGAAUCCGAUUUAUAUUACAAUGGAAUUUCUUUUUGGUGGCUACUCUAUUUCUUCUAUAUGCUAAGUUAUAUUAUAUAGCUAGCAUGUUUAUUUCAAUUUGUUAUCACAGAUAUGAUAAAAAAUAAAGGUUUCAUCCCAUCUACACCAGGAGAUAUUGCCUUACCAUUGAAGCAGAUAAAAGCUGUUAUUGAGUCUUUUCUUCCUGCGUGCACAGAGCCAGAUAUGGAAACUGGUGUGCCUUUUAGAGCCCAAGCAAUUAUUGCAAACCCACCUGCUUAUGGUGAGUUGGUAAAAACUGAAGAUUCUCAUCAUCUUCUUAUAAAUCAUGUCUGCUUUGUUUUGUUUUCCCCUUCAAAAAAUGCUUGAUGGUUGUUGGUUCAGCUUGUGAAUAAGUCCUGUUGUUGUUUAGUAUACUUUGAGAUUGAUUCUGAAUGGCCUAUUAUGCAUAUAACUUUAAUUGUAGAAAAUGAGGUUGAGUUAUGAAAAUGUCUAGUCUAAUUGUGCUUUGUGUCACAGGACAUGUACAUGUUGCUGAAGCUCUUGGUGUACCAAUUCACAUUUUCUCCACAAUGCCUUCGACGUGAGUAUUAAUUAAAAAUAACCAUGCAUUUGAAAGUGGAAAAUAAAUUAUUAAAUUGAACUUGUGAUUUUUAGUUAAAUAUUUAUUAUUCACUCUGAGACUGAUGCUAUUGCAUUCUUAAACAAAUAGAAGGAUUAGAAGAGAGCCAUCUUAAAUUCUAACUAAAUUAUGUAGCAUAUGCUUUUCACUAUUUUAGCUGAUACACGUCUGCUUAAUUCCUUGACCCUUGGCAAAUAUUCUACCAUUGUUAAAAAUGUGGUAUUCUUAGUUGAGGAGUUUAUAUAUAUAUAUAUAUAUAUAUAUAUAUAUAUUGGUUGGGGNNNNNGGGGUGGGUUGGAAAUUGGGAUGCGGUGGUGAUAUCUAGCAUGCACCAAUGCUAAUACAUUGUUGGUGCUAAAUGAAACGUGGGAUGCUAUUUUCACUACCCUGAAGCGAGGGAAAAUUACAGGAGAGAUCAAUAAAUUACCAGUAUUUAAUUUAUAAAAGCUUACUUAAAUUUAUGUUUGCUAACUUCCAUUUUUAUAGGCAGGCCAACAUAUGAACUUCCUAACCCCUAUGCACGUGUUCCUCAAGCUGGUUAUUGGGUAUGUUUUCACUUAGCACAUUGUACUUCUCCAUAGUCUAUGCUUUCCUUGCAUAACGGGAAGCCAUAGUGCUAUUUUCCUUAUACUUGUUUCCAUCUGUUCUUGUUGGAUUCAGCUUUCAUAUAUAGUUGUGGAUUUGCUCAUAUGGUGGGCAACAAAAGGAUAUAUAAAUGACCUAAGGAAAAGAAAGUUGAAGCUUCCGCCAAUUUCAUACUUCAGUAUAUACAAUGGAUCAAUAUAUCAUUUACCUACAGUUUAUAUGUGGAGUCCUCACCUUGUGCCAAAGCCAAGAGGUAAAGACGCUUAGUCCCUUCUUUUCUUCUGUUAACAGUGGUAGAAUCUCUAUUGUUUCCUUCUAUUUAGGCAUUUUUUGUAGUUACAUAGUUGUUAAUCAUCUCAUUGUGCACCGAUGCAUGUUAGCCACUUGCAGCUCAAUCAUUGAUUGCUGGGAAAUUUAUCUAGAUAUGUUUCAGUAUCUAAUGCAUUUUUACGUUAUUUUUCUCCUUACACCUUUAAUUAUUACCACAUUUUUAUGGAGUGUUGGGAUAUAAUUUUUUUUUGUUUCACAUUACAAGAGGAGAGUAGAAGAUUUGGACUUAGGAUCUCUAUAAAACACCAACUUCCACAAAUCACCUGAGACUGAGCUAAUCCAAGUUGAUAGUGCACUAGGUAAGCAUCACUUUUUCAAAAUUGAGUUUUGUUUUUGUCUGAUAAAAAUUCAAGUGUGUAGUGGAAGUCCUUUAAACAUUCAUUUGGAUAAUAUGAAAAGUAGACUUGCAGACCUUUUAUUUCAAAAGACCUCUGAUGUUUCUAUUCUAUAUUAACCUUUAAUACUAGAAGGAAGAGCACUUGUUGGCCUUGGUUAAAGGCAAUUAUUAGAGGGUAAUACAUAUAUAGCUGAAGGUUCAAGUAAAAAUAAUAGUCUCUAGUUUUUGUAGCUUAAAAGGAUAGCAUAUAUGUAGAAUAGAGAUGAUCUCCGUAGCUGAACAAAACCAUUGUAUGUGAUGACAAUAGCUCAAGUUUGUUUUUCUUUCAACUCAUUUGAUAUUUAGCUGACCUAUUCAUUUGAUGGGCUAGGUUUAGCUUGAAGUUUGGUAUAUGCCCAAGCUUGACUUGAAAAUCUAUACCGAUCAUUAUGACUAGCCAAUAACAAAAACAACGUUUAAGCCCUUAUCCCAAACUAGUUGAGAUUGGCUAUAUAAAUCCUUUUUCGCCAUUCAACUCCAUUUGGCACCAAGUUGGCAUCAAUAACUAAAAAUUAUAAAUAUUUUGAUACCACUUCCCUCCACGUCAUCUUAGGCUCCCUUUCUCCUUUUUCUAUUAUCUUAUCACAAUUCUAUGUGGUAUUUGAUUCUCCAUGUUAAACAUGACAAAAACAUAUUAUUUGGCCCUUUCUUGUUUUAUCUCCAAUUCAUGUGCUACAUGCAUUUUUUAACAGAUGUGCCAUUCCUAAUCUGUCUAUUAUUGUGUUACAAGAUAUCCAUUUUAAUGUCCACACUUCUAUCACACUCAUCUUAUAUAUGUGUUGUACCUUAGAUCCAACAUUCACUUCCAUACAAUGUAGCUGGUCUAACCAUAAUCCUAUAGAACUUAGGUUACUUUGUUAGAGAUUUAUGAUUGCAUAAUACACCCAGACCCAGCACACUCCUUCAUUUUAUCUAUCAUGUAUUGAUCCUAUAGGUUACAUUCUUAUUUAAACCUCCAUUCUUCUGUAUAAUAUAACUUAAAUACUUGAACUGAUUGCAUUUGGGCAGCAAGAAUUUGUCCAAAUGAACCUCACUUCCAUCUCGCAUUGCAUAUCUGUCAUUUUAUUUGCACUCAAAAUCUUGUUCUCAAAAGUCUUUCUUCAUAAUUCUAAACUUUUGAUUAACUCCUUCACUAGUUUCAUCCACUAAGCCAAUAAAGUAUAAUAUACCAUGGGAUAUCAUCUUGAAUAUGACUGGUCAACUCGUCUAUGACUUAGAUAAACAAUUACACACUCAAAGCCUUUUUCCUUGAUGUAAACCCGCUAUUUCGGGAAACUCGUUCGAGUCCUCUUCCAUUGUCCUUGCAUUUGUACCGUCUCCCACAUAUAUGUCCUUAAUAACAUUUAUAUGUUUGAAGUUUACACAUUUCUUUUGCGUCAUCUACUAAAGGAUUUUUGUACUCUAUCAUAUGUCUUUUCUAGAUAAUGGAUGUUAUAUAUCCUCUUUUCUUUCUUAUAUAUCUUACUAAAAAGAUGGCUUUAUUGUACAUCUGGCAGGCAUAGAGCCAAAUUGGUUCUCUGAUACGUCAGUAGUAUCCCUCGGUCGUUCAAUCAUUCUUUUCCAAAGUUUAUCUUAUGACUCAGUAGUUCGAAACUAUGAUAGUUUGUACAAGUUUGGAUGCCUUGUUUGCUCUUAAAGAUAGGAAUUGAAAUGCUCUUCCUCCACUCUUAUGGCAUCUCUUGUGAUUUUAAUCUGCAUUGUAUUGCUUGGUCAGCUAAGCUACUUCAAACUUGCCAAGGCACUUCCAUUCUUCUACGGGGAUACCAUCUAGUUUGCAAGCUCUCUCUAUCUUCAUAUUCUUCAAGCUCUCUUUAACUUAGGCAAAUAUGAUUCUGCAAGAGUAAGUAAAAUUCUUUCCUAUCAAAUGAACAUUAAGAUCUAUAAAGUUUCUCACGCCUUGUAUAGAAUGACUUAUCCAUCUCUCUUUAAUCUCUUAUUUCUUGACAAAACUUGCUAUUUAUCAUCUUUAAUGCACUGGACUUGAUGAAGAUCUUUAUUCCUCUCGCUUAAGUUGUUCUAGCCUGUGCCUCCCAUUUUCUUCUCCAAUGUCCACAUUUUUUGGUACACAUUGGCUAGACAUAUAUCGCUAGCCCCUUUUGGGGGAUUAAUGUUGUUUACCCUUUGUGGGUGUGUUGUAUGGUUUUCUUUAUCUUAAUUUCUGGGUUGUUGGGCAUUUACGGAUCUAUUGUUUUGGGCAUCUGAUUGAAGGAGUUGGACAUUUGUUUAUCUUUUUCUAGCAGAUUGAGGGAGAAUUGCUGCGUGCCAAUGAGAAUUUCUGGGUGCUGCAUUUUCUGAGAAUUUUGGGCACUUGUUUUAAGGAGAAUUGUUUUGAGCACAUGAUCGUUUUUUGAACUGCCAUGUCAAACAGAAUCAAGCCAAAUCAAAUCAAACCGGUUUGAUUUGGUUCAAUUCAGUCCUUUUUUUGUUCAGUUAUUUUCUUUUGAAAUUGGCUUUCUGGUUUUUUAAAUUUGGUUUGGUUCGAAACCGAACCAAUCUAAUCAUCUUCCCUACCUCAGUCUAUAAUGAUGUCUAUGUUUCAGUAGCAAUACAACUUAGUUUUUAAUAUUGACUACUAAAAGGUUGUCACAAAGUUUCCGUUUUUCUAAUUACUAUUGUUCUAGACUCAGUAAAUCUCUGCAUUCUGCAAAGCUAUAUCAGGACAGUUCAAUCAGCUGCAUUGGGUGCUUCACAUUUGCUUUUGGGAAAGAAUCUGAGAGAUCUAACAAUUCAUCUGCUCCAAAUCAGUGUUGAUAAUUAUUUUCACACACUCCGCUGUUUGUCAUUCAUUUUUGCAGUUGUUUCUUUUAGAUGCUCUCGAGUGUUUCUUCUUAAAGUUUUUGUAGUAUUUAAUUGGUUUCUCAAAUUCUAAUUUUUAUACUUUGCACCAAUUAAUAAUAAACUUCAUAAACUAUUUGCAGAUUGGGGUCCUUUGGUUGAUGUUGUUGGUUAUUGUUUCUUAAACCUUGGGUCAAAGUACAAGCCUAGAGAAGAAUUUAACGAAUGGAUUCAGAAAGGAACAAAACCCAUUUAUAUUGGGUUUGGGAGCAUGGUAUGUUGAUUUUACAAGAGCAGUUGUAGUUAUCACAUUUUAUGUUAUUUGUUCUUUCAGUUUCUUAUGUCUCAUGAUGUACUUCAAUGAUCUCUCAUUUUCUGCUUUCUACAGAUUUUUUUAUUAUCUUGUAUUUUUCCUUUCAAUGCAUAGUUUCUGUUGCAUUGACUGUUUGUCCUCCAGGCAUAUUUGGAUAUUGAAAUCUGGAGGGUGGAGCUCGACAUAUUUGGAAAAUUGAUCGGUUAAUAAUUAAUUUACCUAGUUUCUCAGUUUAGAGUAAAAACAAACAAAUAAGUAAAUAAAACAGUUGCUCAUAUGUUUGCACAUUUUAUAUGGAGACACAAUUCAUUAAUGCAUUGAAUACCUAUGAGAAUGCCAUUAGGCUAGGAUACUAUAUGUUUGAAGUGAUUCAGGAAUAAAAUGGUAAUUCCUUUGUUGCUAACUGCGUAAUGUAGCUAAAUUUCUUAUGGAAGUUCUCAUUUGAUCACUGUUUAUAAAAUAAGAAAGAUAUGGAGCAAAGCAGCCAUCUUUACUACUAUGGUAUACUAUUUCUUAGUUUCAUUUUAUCGUUUUCCUCUUUGCAUGGACUGUAUGCCAGUACUAUGUAACUAACUUGUUAGAUGGUUAUUCUUCUUGCCGUUUGUGCUUGUAAUACAAUCCUUGGUGUUACUGCCUUACUGGUGGUAUGCUUGCAUCAAUCAAGCCAAUUGUAACAAAUCAGAAUUGUAGGAAAAUUAUGCGUAUUCUCUAUUGAAUAAGAGUGUUUAUUUACACAUUACAAGGUUUUGUUAUGGUAACUAAUCAAUCUCCUAUAAAUCCUCCCUCAAUCAAUUAGCCCUAUGAUUUUGCUAUAUAUUAAUUAUUUACAGAUUAUGUUUAUGCUCUAACACCAAUUAACACAGUACUUUUGCUUAUGUCAUAUUGAGUUCUUUUCCCGCUCCAAUACUUUGCAUGUGUAUCAAUCCUUUUGUCAACUCUGCAUUCUACUAUGAUUUUUGUAUUUGGCAGAUAAUUUUUUUAUGUUUCAUCAGGAAUAUUUGGGGAGGAUCUAAUUGAACAAUUACUUGUUAUUUGUUAAGCUUCUUGAAUAUCCUAAGGAGACCACAGACAUAAUAAUGGAAGCAUUGAAAGCUACUGGGCAAAGAGGAAUAAUUGUCCGAGGGUGGGGAGAUCUAGGACAUUGUAAGUAUAUAUAUUCCAUCUUAAUUUUUCACUUUCUUGGUCUGUGGGUUUUUUAGCAAAUUCUGAUCACAAGGACAAAUAAACAAAUCCUUCAUGUUAGCUGCUGGUUUAAUUUCAAUCAUAUCAGUUCAUAUAUAAAUGCCUUGCCACCGUUUACCUAGAGAUAUUAUUUUUUCCAAAUUAUUUUUAUUUGAUCAUGAUAUCAUGUGAGUGAUUGCUUUUUUGAAAUGAAUUUAAAAAUAAAAACUAAAAUGAUUGCUUUAAUGAAGGCAAUGAGAGGCUACUUAUCAUACAUUGUAAACAAAUAUUGCUUCAGAAAUGUCAAGGACAUGUCUUCUUUUAAUUUUGAUACUGUCAAAAAUAUAAAAACUUAUGUGAUAUUGUUGACUUAUUUGAUAUGAUUUGAUUUGAUUAUGGAUUUUAAGAAUAAAUUAGAAUACUUAAUUAUCUCUGUAAUUAUUCUUUGAUUAUUUGCUUUCUGUUCAGUUGUAAUUCUUUGUGUAUAAAUAGUCAUGUAAAUCACUUGUAAAGAUUAAGAGUGAAAUAUAAGAAUACUCUAAAAUUCUCUAAAAUUCUUCAUGGUAUCAGAACUUUUUCCUGAUUUCAGAAUUUAAAUUCAAUUUUUCCUUUUUAGGGUUUCAAAAUCUUAGAUCUACCUUUUUAGUACUACCCUAUUAGGGACCUUUUCACAACUCACUCCUGCAGCACUAGGAGGAUCGCUGGCCAGACCACCCAGCUCUGACGCCGAAAAGUCACGCACGUGAGGCUCACGCUCCCUCCCAUCCCGGCACAUGAGACACCGUUCGAUGCUGCUUCGCCGCUCCGAUCACUCCGGUGCCAAUUUCGACCCUCUUUCUAGCCUUCCCGUACUGCUUCCUACUCUUUUGGUGAUUCGGUUGGGCUCUCUUAUGUGUACAACCUUGGGUACCUGUAUUUUCUCAUUUUUCUGUCUUUUGUGCUGAAAUCAAGACUCAAUUUAAUUUUUCUGUGCAAAUUUUGUGGAGCGACAAUGCUAAAGAAUAUAUGUCAGAAUCAUUCCAGGCUUAUAUGACUCAAUAUGGUAUUAUUCACCAAUCGUCAUACGUAGGGGUGAGCAUUUGGUCGGUUCGGUUCAAAACCGAACCGAAUAAACCGAAAACCAAAAUUUUAGUAUUUAUGAAAACCGAAUCGAAUCGAUUUUGGUCAGAAACCGAAUCGAACCGAACCGGUCUGAUUCGAUUCGGUUCGGUUUGAUCGGUUUUGAUUUUAAUAAUUUUUUAUUUUUUACACUUUAUUUUUAGUUUUUUAAAAUUUAAUUAAAAUAUUUUAAUUUUAAUAUAAUUUAAUUUCUCUAUAUUAUUAAAAAUAACAUAUUAUUAUCACUAAUCGGUUCGGUUCGGUUUUUUUGAUUUUUUCUGAUCAAAACCGAAUCGAACCGAAAUAACCAAAAUUUUUGAAAUUAAAAACCGAACCGAAUUGAAUAAAAAAUCGAACCGAAUUUUCAAAUUAAUUCGAUUUCGGUCGAUUUUUUCGGUUUGAACCGAAUACUGCUCACCUUUAGUCAUAUAUUGAUACACCCACUCAAAAUGGGGUAAUUGAAAGGAAGAAUCGUCUCUCCUUGAGACUGCUCAAGCUCUAUUGUUUCAAAUGCGAGUUCUUAAGCAAUUUUAGGCCGAUGUUGUCUCUACUGCAUGCUUUUUCAUUAAUCGCAUGCCCUCCACAGUACUAAACGGUAAUACUCCUUAUAAUGUCCUCUUUCCUAAGAAGCUAUUAUUUCCUCUCGAACCACGACUGUUUGGCAGCACUUGCUAUGUUCGGGAUGUCAGACCUAUUGUGAAUAAACUUGAUCCUAAAGCUUUAAAAUGUGUUUUUUUGGGAUAUUCUCGCUUUCAGAAGGGAUAUCGGUGUUACUCUCCAGACCUCAACAAAUAUCUGGUCUCAACAGAUAUAGCCUUUUCUGAGCAAAUUCAUUUUUAUCCUGUUGCACAAAUCUCUCUUGAUCAAGAGGAGGACGAUGAGUGGCUCAUCUAUAGAAUCAUAUCUGAUGGUGAGACCUCUUCGAGUAUGUCUUUUGCUGUACAAUCUGAUGAUAACAUUCCUCCUAGUACUCAGCCUCCAAUUAAAUCGUCAGUUGUUCAAGUUUAUUCUCAGAGACCAGCACCUGAUGAUACAUGUCCUGUACUAGAAUUUUCUUUGCCAUUGGAUCCACCACCGAGUGAUCUUGACCUCCCCAUUAGUCUUCGUAAAGGUAAAUGACAGUGUAAAUCUACCUAUUCUAUUGCUAACUUUUUGUCUUAUAAUCACCUGUCUCCUUCUUCUACCUCCUUAAUUGUCUCUCUAGAUUCCAUUUCUUUGCCUAAGACAGUUAAAGAGGCCCUGGCUCAUUCUGAAUGACGUGAUGCAAUGUUUGAAGAGAUCAAGACCCUAGAUGAAAGUCAUACUUGGGAACUAGUUGAUUUACCCUCUAACAAGAAGGUUGUGAGUUGUAAAGGGGUUUUUGCCAUCAAAGUCAAUGCAGAUGGUUCCAUAGCGAGGCUUAAAGCUCGUCUUGUCACCAAAGAUUAUGCCCAAACCUAUAGCGUUGACUAUUAUGACACUUUUCUCCUGUGGCAAAAAUGACCUCAGUUCGCUUGUUCAUCUUCCUAGCUGCUUCUCAGCAUUGGCAUUUAUACCAGUUAUAUAUCAAGAAUGCAUUUUUGCAUGGUGACCUCCAAGAAGAGGUGUAUAUGGAGCAACCACUAGGUUUGUUGCUUAGGGAGAGUAUGGAAAAAUUUGCCAUUUGAAGAAAUCUUUGUAUGGUUUAAACAGAGUCCCUGUGCAUGGUUUGACAAGUUCACUGAAGUUGUUCAAAAAUUUGGGUUGAAAAAAAAUAAGUGUGACCAUUCAGUUUUCUAUAGAAAUUCAGAUAUUGGUAUUAUUCUCCUUGUUGUAUAUGUUGAUGAUAUUGUCAUUACAGGGAAUAAUAGUACAGGGAUCUCUUCUCUCAAAAACUACUUGCAUGUAAGUUUUCAUACCGAAGACUUGGGUCAGCUUAAGUAUUUCUUAGGAGUCGAAGUCUUGAGGAGUAAAAAGGGAAUCUUCCUGUCUUAAAGGAAGUAUGUCCUUGACUUGCUUACAGAAACUAGGAAGAUGGGAGCUAAACUAUGUAGCACACCAAUGAUUCCUAAUAUAUGUCUUACAAGGAUGACAAAGACCCUUACGAUGAUCCAGAGAGGUACAGGAGGUUGGUUAGAAAGCUGAACUACCUUAUGGUGAUGACUCGGCUAGAUAUUGCUUUUGCAGUAAGCCUUAUAAGCCAGUUUAUGUCUGCACCUACGGUGAAACAUUGGACUGCUCUAGAACAAAUUCUAUGUUAUCUAAAAGGGACUCCUGGACUCGGUAUACUCUACAUGAUCAUGGGCAUACUGCACUUGAGUGUUUUUCUGAUACUAACUGGGCGGGAUCCAAAAGUAAUAGAAGGUCGACUACAGGCUACUAUGUAUUUGUUGGAGGAAACCUAGUGUCUUGGAAAAGUAAGUGUUGAAUUCCACAUCGGUUGUGGAAAGGGGUAAUGUGCCCCCUUAUAUGGGCCAUAGGCACUCUUCCCCUUGAGCUAGCUUUUGGGGUAAGUUAGACCUGGUCCAAAUUUAACAUGGUAUUAGAGCCUCCCAUCCGAUGUUGGGCCUCCUAUAAAUAUAUCACGCACCAGUAAAAAUUCUAGGUGUGAGGAGGGUGUGUUGAAUCCUACAUCGGUUGUGGAAAGGGGUAAUGUGCCCUUUAUAUGGACCAUAGGUACUCCUCUCCCUUGAGCUAGCUUUUAGAGUGAGUUAGACCUGACUCAAAUUUAAUAGUAAGAAGCAAAAUGUGGUAUCCAGAUCCAGUGCCGAGUCAGAAUACAAGCCCAUGAUUCAAUCCACUUGUGAGAUUCUGUGGAUAAAUUAUUUGCUGAAGGAAGUUGGUAUGGAUGUUGCGUCACCCAUGAAACUUUGGUGUGAUAAUCAGGCUGCUCUUCACAUUGCUUCCAAUCCAGUAUACCAUAAACGGACUAAGCAUAUUGAAGUUGAUUGUCAUUUCAUCUGUGAGAAGAUUCAAGAAAAUUUAAUCUCCACCAAUUAUGUGAAGACAAGAGAGCAACUGGGUGAUCUACUCACCAAAACUUUAAAUGGGCCUCGAAUAGAAUAUUUUUCUAACAAGUUGGGCAUGAUAAACAUCUAUGAUCCAACUUGAGGGAGAGUGUUACAGUGUGAACAUAAUUUGUACAUAAUCAUAAGAGAUUACAUAAUUAUAGGCUAAUUGAUUGAUAGAGGAUUCUUAGGAGUUGCCUUAAUAAGACCUUGUAAACUGUAUAUAUACACACUUCAAUGGAGCAAUAUAUGGAAAUUAUCCAAUUAUUCCUUAUCUUAUUACACAAAUGAUUCUUUUACUCUCAUAUUCGGAACAAGUUCUGUUAUUUGUGUAUCCAAUAUUAAAUUAUUAUUUGUCCUUCAUGUUUCUCAUUUUUUUGUCAACCUUUUAUCUGCCAAUACCAUCACCAAUGCUCUUAACUAUAAAAUUGAGUUCUUUCCUGAUCAUUGUGUUAUUUAGGAUCUUCUCACAGAGAAGAGGAUUAGCAUGGUAGACUGCAUGAUAGCUUAUACAUGUUGGAAGGCGAUCCAGAUUCUCUGAUAUCUCAGGCCUGUUUUAGAGAAAAUAAGAAUGUCAAUCAAGAAAUACUACAGUAUCACAGACGGUUAGGGCAUCCAUCAUUUUUUGUCUUAGAAAAACUUUAUCCUAGUUUGUUUGCUAGAACUCAGUUUGGUUCUUUAUUUUGUGAUCUUGUGAGUAUGCUAAGCACACUAGAACCUCCUAUCCUUUGAGUCAUAAUAAAAGGCAAAUUCCUUUUGUAACUAUUCAUUCUGAUGUUUGGGGGCCUACUCAAAUUGUCUCCUUAUGUGAUAAUCGAUGGUUUAUCACCUUUAUUGAUUGUUACACUCGAAUGACUUGGGUCUAUUUGAUUAAAGCUAAAAGUUAUUACUCGAAUGACUUGGGUCUAUUUGAUUAAAGCUAAAAGUUAUUUCUUUUCUUAUUUUCAAUCCUUUUACAAGAUGAUUUGUAUUCAACUUAAUUUUAAGAACUGACAAUGGAAAAAAAUAUAUGGAUAGUAGGUUUUCUACUCAUUUGGAGAUCAAUGGGAUAGUAUACCAGACAAGUUUUUCUUAUGCUAGUGUACAAAAUGGCGUUGCUGAAAGGAAAAACAUGCAUCUAUUGGAGGUAGCUCAAUCUCUUUUGUUCACUAUAAACCUAUCCAAAGCAUAUUAGGGAGAUGCAGUCCUUGUAUCUGCUUAUCUUAUCAAUAAAAUGCCCCUCAAGGCUCUUGACUUUAUGAGUCCUUUGGAGAUUCUACAAAAAAAGAAUUCAUACAUUGUUCCAUCAAAAGUAUCAUACAUUGUUCCAUACUAGGACGACGGAAUAAUUGGACCCCAAGGCCCUCAAAUAUGUAUUUAUUGGGUAUUCUUCGACACAGAAGGGAUACAGGUAUUAUUAUCCUCCAUCUAGAAAAUACAUUGUCAAUGUGGAUGUUACUUUCUGAGAAACUAAAUCCUAGUUCAGUACUACCCACUCACCUCUUCAGUGGGAGAAUAAUGAGUAAGAAGAGGUAACUCUAAAUUCUGUGAUUUUGAAUGAUAUGGUUCAACGAGAGAGCUCUAGGUGAUAGGGGGAGAGAAUUGGACGUUUAAAAAAGUCAGAUUUGAGGAGGUAUUCAAGGAGAGACAAGGUAGAAGCCAUUAUGCAGUCUACUCAGAGUCAAAAAACUUUUUCUGGUGAGUUAUCCAUAACUCUUAAAUGCUCUAAUGAUGAAUAAACCCAUUGCACAAAAAAAAGGUGUCAGAUCUUGUACUAAACACCUUAUUUCUAACUUUGUUUCUUAUGAAUCAUUAGUCUAUUUCCUCUGUGUCUAUUCCACAGGAUUGGAAGGAAGCUCUUGCAGAUCCUAAAUGGAAGGGAGCAAUGAUUGAAAGGACGAAAGCACUGGCAAAAAAUGAGAUCUGGGAGCUUGUCACUCUCCCGCCUGGGAAGAACUUGUUGGCUGUAAGUGAGUAUUCACAAUAAAACACAAAACUGAUGCCACAAUUGAACGGUUUAAGGUCAGAUUGGUUACUAAAGAAUUCACCUAAAUUUAUGGAGUGGAUUAUCAAGAAAUAUUUGCUCUAGUUGUAAAAAUGAGCUCAGUUAGAGUCCUAUUAUCUUAUGCAACCAACUUGGACUGGGACCUACAACAGUUUGAUGUGAAGAAUACUUUCCUCCAUGAAGAUUUAGAGGAAGAAGUGUUCAUGGAGAUCUCUCUUAGGUUCGCUGAUGAGAAGACACAAGGAAAGAUGUACAAAUUAAAAAAGGCUUUGUAUGGAAUCUCCCAGAGCUUGGUUUGAUAGGUUUAGCAAAACCAUGAUGUCCUUUGGUUAUCAACAGAGUAAUGCUGAUCACACUCUGUUUGUUAAAUAUCACAAGGUAAGAUCACCCUUCUUAUUGUGUAUAUUGAUGAUACAGUGGUGACAGGUGAUAACAAAGAGGAAAUGACUCAAUUAAAAAGGUUGUUGGUUCAAGAAUUUGAAAUCAAAGAUCUAGGAAAGCUUCAAUAUUUCCUAGGUAUUGAGGUGGCUAGAUCAAAAAAGGAAUCUUUAUCUACCAAAAAAAGUACAUUCUGAACCUUUUAGAAGAAAUUGAUAUGUUGGAGUGUAAAUUGAUAGGGAGGUUGAUUUAUCUCUCACACACUCAACUGAAUAUAAUCUAUGCUGUUAGCUUAGUCAACCAAUUCAUGCAUGACCCUCGCGAGACUCAUAUGCAGGUUGUCCUUCACAUCUUGAGAUACCUUAAGUUUGCGCUAAGGAAAGGGCUUUUUUACUCCAAUCAUAGUCACUUUCGAGUUGAAGCUUUUACAUAUGCAGAUUGGGCAAAAUCUCUCAAUGACAGGAGAUCCACCUCUAAUUACUGCACAGUUGUGGGAGGGAAUCUUGUCAUCUAGAAAAGCAAAAAAUAAAGUAUUGUUGCUCAGUUAAGUGCUGAAGUAGAAUAUAGAGUAAUGGCCCAAGGUGUGUGUGAGCUUUUGUAGUUGUAAAAGUUAUUGAAGGAGUUGAGGUUGCCUGAGAGAGACAAGAUAAUUUUGUAUUGCGACAACAAAGCCGCCAUUAGUAUAGCAUAAAAUUCAGUUCAGUGUGACCAAAAGAAACAUAUUAAGAUUGAUCAACACUUCAUUAAAGAAAAAUUAACAGACAGGGUUUUGAGUUUAGUUCAUCUGACUUAUACUGGACAACUUGUGGAUGUGUUCACUAAAGAGCUCAACAAUAGAAUCUAGCAUAAUCUGAUUUGCAAGUUGGGCAUAUGCGAUAUAUAUGUACCAACUUGAGGGGAGUGUUGAUUUAUUUGAUAUGAUUUGAUUUGAUUAUGCAUUCUAAGCAUAAAUUAGAAUCUUUAAUUAUCUCUGUAAUUAUUUUUUGAUUAUUUACUCUUUGUUUAGUUGUAAUUUUUUGUGUAUAAAUAAUCAUGUAAAUCACUUAUAAAGAUUAAGAGUGAAAUACAGGAAUACUCUAAAAUUCUUGGAUAUAUAUAAACAUGGCAAUCACCUCUAAUGGGGUUGUUUUAAUUCUUGGGAACAUUUGCCUUUAUGAAAUCGAAUGACAGGGAUUCGCAUGUUCGGGAUCUUAUUCUUUGCUUUUCCAAAUCUUAUUUUGAUCUACCAUCAAAAGUGAAAAAAAAUGAAAUUGGCAAAGUGGGAAACUGUUAUCACAAAAGUCCUCAUAACUGAUGUAAUGAAACGUCCUUGAGAACUAUAAUGAAAAGCUAGACUUGUUUAAGAUGAAAAAAUAAAGUGGACAAUUUCAUUUUAAUUUUCUAAUGGUCUUCCGAACUGCCAAAAAAACUUUGCAGUUGUGCAUUAGCAAGUAGGAAUCAUAUCAUUCAAGACAAAAGAUUUUGCAUUAAUUUUCGUGCUAUAUCAUUUAAGAAGGGAGGAUUCACUUUUUUAUAAGACGAGGUUCCUCUAGAUGAGAGAUGAAUGAAUAAAGGAAUUGUAAAUAUGAAAGCAAAUUCUACCUGGCAAAGCUGAAAAGUUACAUUUGGUUUAUUGGAUUGGACAGGAAAGCCCCGUGUUUUUUCUCCUGUUCAGUCCUUCAGUCCCCUUCUCUGUUUUCUUUUCCCUUACUAGACAAUUUAUCCAGUCCAAUGGCUGAGAUUGUUAGCAUUCCUCGUCAACAUACCCCUUUCUUCUUUUAAAUAAAAAUGAAGUUUCUUCAAUAUUUGUGUGCUAUUGUUAAAUUUGAUUCCUGUAUAUCGAUGAUUGAAGACUGUCUGGAAUGUCAGCAUUACGUGGUUGCUAAUAGUAAUUUGCUGCUUGAAUUAUUUCAUAAAAGAUUGUAGAAUUUCUUCAUAUUGUUGGUAUUUUGGUUACCUAGCUUUGUAUUGAAUGCCCUGUGCUCUAUAUGAGUUAUCCUAAAAUUGAAACUGGUGGUGUUUGUUGAGUAAACAAGAGACAGUAACGUUUGUAUUCUCUCUUCCUUUUCUUUUUUUUUUUCAUCUUGCAGUUACUGAACUUCCAGAUACUGUAUUCCUUCUAGAGGAUUGCCCCCAUGAUUGGUUGUUUCCCCAGUGUGCUGCUGUGGUGAGUUAUUAUUAUUAGAGAAAUUUACUAUUUAGUCCCUAUAUUAUAUGGAAACUCAUUAGUUGGUCUAUCAGUUUUGUAAAAUACAUUAGAUUGUCCCUGAGAUUUUAAAAGUUUGCUAAUUAAUCAUUCUGUUAGUUUUAGCCGUUAAAUAUUUUACUAUUUAGGCUCUAUAAUUUAGAAAAACUAAUUAAUUGGUCGCUCAUGUUUGUAAAAAAAUCUACUAAUUAAUCUCUCCAUAUUAAAGGUAUUUUAGAUUUUUUUUAUAAUAUUUAAUGACUAAAAUUAACGGAGGGACUAAUUAGUAGAUUUUUUAAAGUUUCAAGAAUAUUUUAAUAUAUUUUUCAAAAUUGAGAUACUAAAUAAUGAGUUUUUCAAUAAUACAGGAAUUAAAUAGUAAUUUUUUUAUUAUUAUUAAUUUUUGUUGUAUUUUUUCUUAGAAAAACUUACUAUUUUGUCCCUAUGGUAUAGAAAAAUUUAUUAGUUAGUAUUUCGAUUUUAAAAAAUAUAUUAAAAUAUUCUAAAAUUUUUAAACAUAUACUACUUAGUCUUCCAUUAGUUUUAGCCUUUAAAUAUUUUAUUAUUUAUUCCAAUGGAAAAUUUCUUAGUUUGUCACUCAGUUUUGUAAAAUUAAAUUCAUACUAAUAAUCCUUUCAUAUUGAGAUCAUUUUGAACUUUUUAGAAUACUUAAUGGCUAAAAUUAACGGAAAGACUAAUUUGUACAUAUUUUAAUACCUUAAGGAUGUUUUAAUGUAUUUUUUAAAAUUAAGAGACUAAUUAAUGUAUUUUCCAAUACCAUGAGGAUAGCAAUAUUCCCUCUUUCUUAUUAUGCUUUUAAUAACUAAUACAUUUCCUUGCAAUUAAUAUAACUUUGUGCAGUUGCCAGCAUGUGCCUGCAAUUUUUUUUUUUUUACCUUUCUAGUAUAAUUCCUAGAUAGUUUUCAUUUUAUCAUAUAUGAAACUGAUAUUUUCUGCUUCUACUGAUGUAUUAGAACAAUAUAAAAGACUUGCUAAUGCAUGCUUCUAAUAGAAUGAUAUGUGGUUAAUCUAACACUAACCUUUUAUUUGCCAUGAUUCAUUUUGCAAGAAAAGAAUUCAAAUGAAUUCUUGCAAAAUCAUACAAGAUUUCAACUUCUCUUAAAAUGAAAAUUUUUUAAGUUAAAAAGAAUUGAAUUCUUUUAUUCCAAAGAAGAGAAUUGUUAGAAAAGAAAUCAAUUGGAUUGAAUUCUUACGAAAUUUUUGAUUUCAAAGAAGAGAAUUAUUAGAAAAGAAAUCAAUUGGAUUGAAUUCUUACGAAAUUUUUGAUUCCAAGGGUAAAUGUGCAGGUUCAUCACGGUGGUGCUGGAACCACAGCCGCAGGACUAAAAGCUGGGGUAAUGCUUAUUUAAUUAGUUUCCAUUUUAUGUUGCUGACUGCAUGAGUGCGUGUUUUGAUCAAAUAAUUUAACUAUAUCAGAGUGAGGUGUUAACUUGAGCAUGUACAGCUACAAACAGUUUCUUUGAUUCUCUCUCUUUCUCUCCAAUCAUUUCACCUACCAUAUAUUUUAUGCCCCCUUGUUCUUUAAUAAUAUUUCCUCUCUUCUAAAAGGAAAAAUUCUACUUCAGGAUUCUAAUGAAUAUAUGUAUUUGUUAGAUAAUAGGUAAUUGGAAAUGACAAUAGGAUAUGAUUGGUAACCUAUUUUAAACUAUGUAAUUUAAUAUUAACUAUAAUUGAAUGCUUUUAGUUUUUUAUUUUUCCUAUUGAGAAACUUCUUAAUUACAGUGCCCGACUACCAUAGUGCCAUUCUUUGGAGACCAGUUUUUCUGGGGUGAUCAAAUACAUAAACGAGGGCUGGGACCUGCACCGACGCCAAUAGCUAAGCUCAGCGUUGAGAGCCUUUCAAAUGCAAUAAGGUUCAUGCUGCAGCCAGAGGUAAUUCUGAUGUGUAUAUGUGCUCCCAAUUCAUGCAAGAGUUGAUUCCAGAGGAUGACAAUACAAUAGAUUACUCUAGCCUUUAUAUUUAAACUUCAUUUUAUAUGAUUUAUCCCAUUUAUAGUUCCAUUAGUCUUUGGAAGAUUAGAUUUCAUUGAUUGUGCAGCAAAUAUGAUGCUACUCCAUGAUGCUUAUGUUGCUUUUGAUUCAUACUCACUUUGUAGUUCAUCUCAUUAUUUUUGUCCAGUUUACUUUUUCACACAUAUUAAUAAAAAUAAUUUAUUUAUUAACUUUCUAAAUAUAUCCAUCUUAAAAAUAUUAAAUUUUAUUAAAUAAUAAAAAAUAUUUGAGAGGUUGUAUUGAAAAUAAAAUUAAAUUAAAUACGGUUAUAAUAGUCAAUUUAUAUCUUAAUCAUAUUCGCACAAUAGAAAAAAAAGGAAAGAUGUAUAAAAAUUACGGAAUAGAUGGAAUAUAUUUUUCAAUGAAAUUAGACUUCCUCCCCAUCUUAUGUGGAGUUUGUCAUAGCCAUAAACAAAUACAAGAACUUUCAUGUCCUUGCAGGCCUAGUUGUUACGAUCAAUCUUCCUUAUUUGAUUUAGCCCAUCAACUCUAUUCCUUCGCAUAUUGACCAUCACGUCUGCCAUCACCCAUUUGCAUUUGCAGCUUUCUUUAAAUGCUUCAGUCUUCCUUCACUUCUAUGAAAAUCCAAUUGUCAGUUACUAAAUGGGUACUUUCAAUUUUCUUAGGUGAAAUCUCAGGCAAUGGAACUAGCAAAGUUGAUAGAGAAAGAAGAUGGUGUUGGUGCUGCAGUUGAUGCAUUUCAUCGGCAUUUGCCUCGUGAACUUCCUCUGCCUACUGCGGCUUCUUUAGAUGAAGACAAACAUCCAGACCAUCUACAAUGGUUCUUGAUUCAACUCCAAAAGUGGUUCUGCCUGCCUUGUGGAGUAUAGGAUUCUUUCCUAUUUUUCAUUUUUAUGUCACAGGUUAGUUUUAUCAAAUUUUCUUUUAAUCAAUUCAUUCAUUCCAUUGAUUGGAUCUACUGUGUGGUGGUGAGUUAUAUAUAGUUUUGAAGUCACAUCUGCAGGGUUAUUGUGCAAUAAUAAUUCAUUAAAUUUUGUUUUUUCAAAAUGAAUUAUACCAAAUUAUUUAAAAUUAAUAUUUAUAACUGAUUUUCGUCCAUCUACUCUUCACCCACAGUUUCUCCUCUUCUGCAGUACCAAAUACCCAUUACAGGCCUCAUCCCAUUACAUGUUAUAAAUGAAAAAAAAAAAAAAAAAAAAAACAUUGUUUCUCAUAAGAUGGUGAAUUUUUAUUGGGAUACAAGUAAUAAUUAAUUAAAAGGUGAAAAUAAAUGAAUAAUGAGAGUUUAUAUUAUAUUUGUUUGAUAAAAAAACCAAAGGGGAAGCUGGAGAAACUUAGAUCUUUGUUAUUUGUGCAGGUUUCAAGCAACAGACAACUAGAGAUUUGUGCUAAUGCUGUUGGCUUAUGCUGGUGGAUGCUUCCAUUGUGUUGUUGCAAACAAUAAAUAAAUAAAUAAAUAAAAACUAUAUACAGCAGCAAUCGUGGGUGGCUGUUUCUUUCUUUUUGCCAAAAAUAAAUAAAUAAAAUCGUGUGUUGUUCUGUUUGAGACAGAAAAAAUUGAUGUAAUAAACAAUUCAUUUUGUGUUGCUUUGAAUUUUGAUGGGCAUGUGGUGGAAAUGUAUGUGAUAUGCCAGACAAUGAAGGACUAUGAAAGAACAGGGAAAAAAUGAGAGAAAUUAAUUAAAAAUAUUAUUUUUAUUUAUUUUUUUUAAAGGUGUUAGAAAAUAAAAUUUAAUCUAACGAGUUGACAUGUUAACAAAAAAUAACAUCAUAAAAUUGAGGUAUCAUUUAUGUAAUUUACCUUCAAUAACAUAAAUCGAUAGAGAAAAGUAGGAAUUGGCUAAGAUGAGAGUGAAUUAAGAACAAGCAAGGUCUUCAAACUGAAUUAUACAAAUUCUAGUCUGAAUUUUUGAAAUAUUUUUAAAUCAAUUUAAAUUUUUUAGAUAGUAGAUUUUUGGGUUGACAUCAUAAGGUAAAUUUUAAUUGCAAAGUUUAUAAAUUGUGUGUAAUUAUUAUUAGACCGGAUGGAAAAAAUUAAAUGUUUAUGUGAAUUUAUGAUUAUAGCUAAAUUUUUAAAUAUUGUAAAAUGAAGUUUAAUAAUUCUCAAUUUAUUGCGAUUAUAGUAAAAAUAAAUUAAAUUAUUAAAUUUUAAAAUAAAUUAUAAUAUAGGUCUUAAACCUUGAAUAAAUUUACAACUUUAAUUUUUAUAUUUUCAACAUUAAAUAAUUUAAUUUCUCACUUUUGUUAUAUAUAUAUACAAAUUGGUAAUUUCAUCCAAAUUUCCAUCAAAUUACUACUAAUUUUAAUCGAAAUGAUCAAAUGAUAACUUCAAUCGGACAUAGGUAAAGCUUCUAAGAUUUUAUUUUAUUAAAAAAAGUCUUUUAUUUUAAAUUUGUAUUUAAAAAUAAAUAUAUUUUAUAUUUUAUUAUAUAUAAUAAAUAUUUUAUAAUACUAUAAUUAGAUAUAUUGUCUUUUGUUAAUAAUAUUAAUGUCAAUUUAAUUAAAUAUUUUAUUAUAUAAAAAUUUUAUUUUUAAACGUCAUAGUCUUAUUUGAUUUAGAAAUUUAAUUUAGUAAUUAAAGACAGGUAACUCUUUUGAUAAAUCCAGGUUGGAAUAUCUGAUUUCUCAAUCUACUACUUGAAAAAGGAAAAACAAAAAUAAAAAACAACUAUUACACAGCCAUUAUCAAGUCUGUGGUUCGCUUUUUGUAAAGCUUGAUAUUUUUCCACCUUGAUUCCAUGUAGUGGCUUGAACUAUCAGGCGCCGCAUACACCCCACACUUGAAAUAGUGCUCCGCCGGGCCGUCGUCGUAGACCACCACUUUUUGUUUACCAUUGACGUAAACUUUUAUUUCCCCUUUUCCGACGUUAUGAAUCACGUUAAGCCUUAACCACUUAUUAUAGAUGUCUGUGGCCACCGGGUCGGACCUGUAGGGCUUCAGUUGGCCAUUGUAAACUCUAAGUUGCAGAGAUGUGGAUUUGGUAACUGCCCCAAAUACCUGCAUAACUGUGACCCCUGAGGUUCCUUCUGGAACGUACAAUUGCCCUUCGAAUUGCCAAACUCCAGAUGAGUAGUCAUGUCCCUGCAAAUAAGUGUUAGUUAAUUAAUUAAUUAAAUUUAAAAUUAAAUUAAAUAAAUUAAAAAUUAAAAUUUUAAUAAAAGAAUUAAAUCAAACCGAUUAAUAAUUCUUUCAUACCUAUAAAUAUUCCUCAAUAAAUUAUACAUGAGUUUAUGAAAUAUGUCAAAAAUCACAGAAGGAUUAAUUAAUUAUGUUAAUAUAUUAUUUAUUAUGCACGCACAUAUUUAAUUUGAUAAUAAGUAUAUCUGAAUAAAUAUAUGAGAUUUUAGAUUCUACUCUUCUAAUUUUUAUUUUAAAAAAAUAUAUAUAUUAUCUACGGUUGAAUUUACCUAAUAUAAAAUAAUUUAAUCUCUUAAAUUUAGUUAAUUAACAAAAUAAAUAGUUGGCAUAAUUACAUUUUGUAUUUAAAUAAUUAUAUAUUUCACAAAGUAUUUAAUUAUAUUAUCAAAAUAGAUAAUAUUAGAUUAUAUAAAAAAAAUUUUAAAAUCUUUUUCACAAAAAUUAUUUGAAAAUAAUUUUAAUGGUUGUUAAUAAUAUAUCACCAUAAUUUUUUUUUUGAAAAAUUAUAAAUCAUAAUAUAUGAAUUUAAGAAUUUAAUAAAAUUUAUUUACUGUUUAAAAACUAUAUAUUAUAUUAUCACUACUAUAUUUUAGGUUUAAACAAUAAUAAAAUUAAAUUAGUAAUAUUUUUUAUACUUUGUAAAAAAUAAAUAAACUAUUGAAAUAUAAAAAAAUUUAAAUAUAAAGACAAUUUUGGUAACAAGAUAAAGUUUCUAAAAUUGAAAAAAAGAAUUAUGCUUGUAUUAACGUAAAUUAAAUAUAAAAAACAAUACACAAAAACAGAUAAACAUAUAUUUAGAAAUUAAUUUUUAAAAUUUAUCCAAGAUUCUUUCCAAGAUUAAAGUAUAAAUAUCACUCUAUGUUUGUUAAUUUUCGGUAUAAAAAUCAUUUGCAGAAAUUUCAAAACAACCAAAAAAAAAAAAGUUUAAAACAACUUUUGCGGUAGAACGAGAGAGAGAGAGGCUUAGCUUAGAGCUUUACCUUAAUGCGAACUUCAGUUCGGGGUCUGGUAGGGCUGCCAACUUUGAAGGGCUUGUCAUUCUCGUAAACCCAAAACCGUCGAAUCCCAUUUUUGUAAGAAUAACGUUCGUUCAAGGGCUUGUCAUAUGGUUUCUGUAUGAGGAAGUUGUCCUCUGUUAAUGCCACCUCACUGAAUCCAUCAGUUGGAUCUGCGCUGCUGUUCUUCAACAAGCUCACCAUAGCCAUAAUGAGGACAAAACUUGAGUAAGCUGAGAGUUUCAUUUUCAUUUCCCUUAUAACCUGUCCUUAAUUCUUCCCAUAUUUAUAUUCGCUUGCCACUUAUACUUUCCUUUUUUUUUUUCACAAGAUGAAGUAUUUAUUAAAAAAGUAUGUAUAAAAUUAUAAUUUUAUUAAAAAUUAAAUUAUUUAUUAAAAUAUAUUAUUAUAUAUAAUAAAAAAAUUAAAAUUUUCAUAAUAAUUUUAAACGGGUAUCAAAUUAUUAACUUAAUAAUAAUUUAUAUAUAGAGAUAUACAAAUAUUCAUUUUUUUCAUUAUCUACUUGUGAUAUGAAUUAUUUGUUCUAACAGAUUAAAUACCAAUUAUAAGCUACAAUUUGUAAAGAUUUUGGGAUAAUUGCAUAAAACAAAGAAAAUGCAGAACAUGUAAUAAGAUUUUAGGGAUAAUCGCAUAAAACAUAGAAAAUGCAGAAUAUCUUAUAAGAUUUUGGAGAUAAUUGCAUAAAAUAUAGAAAAUGCAAAACAUGUUAAACACUAUUAUAUGAAAAAGUUAUCAAAUUAUUGAUUCACAUAAUAUUUUUAAUCGAUAAAUUAAUUUAAUUUAUUGUGUUCAAUGAAAAAAUAACAAAAGAUAUAUUUAUUUUACGGAAUCAAAUUUAAGAGACUUAAGAAAUGACGAAAAAGAAAAUAAAAUGAAGUUGAAGAAUUCAAAUACCUGAUGAACAAAUUCAAACUUGAAAAAAAUCUUCUAAUUCUGAAAGAAUAAGAGUUAAGAUAUUAGUUGAAAAACAUCUUAAUAAUCUGAGAUUCAGAAAAUAAAGUUUUUAUAGGAUUUUGUGAAUUUAGAAAAAAUUUAGGUCUAGAGGAGGGCAAUCAUCAUUUUAUCGGUUUUCUUUUGUCUGCUAGUGACGUAUAACAAACUGUCUAUCAUUGGGCCACCUGUCCCUGCCAUGUUGAUUCGGACAUAUGAGAAUAUCAUAUUCCUGCUACAUGCGUAACGGCCUCUGAUUCUCCACGGGCACGCAUGCUGAUGGAUCCGCCAGACGGAUGGAUCGGUUUCCUUUUAGGUUCCGAGCCGGGCCGGAACCUAAAAUUAAAACUGAGUCAAAAAAUGAUCUGUCUGAUGAGCCGUACGGGCUGGGCGGGCCUGAUUGAGAAAUUUAGAUAGAAUUCGGUUUCAAGGCUGAGUGGGCCGGACUGGAUCCAUGCGGGAGACUUGAGGGUCUCUAAAUAAUGGGCUAUUGUCAUGGGUCUGACCCCAGACCGGAGUGAAAAAAUCCCUCGUAUUAUAAGAUUAUAAGAUCAAAAAAAAUUCUCCUUUUAAAUAAUGUAAGUGUUCAAUCAGUACAUGAAUAUAAGAGGGAAUUUAUUCUAUUAUUUUGAUAGGUGCAAUUGCUAUGGCUCGUUAAUUAUAAAUAGAAUUAAUAAUUGCACUCUGAAACCUCCGUUUGUAUAAAAUAAUUUGUACAAAAUGUUUUUCAAAAAAAUAUAUUUAUAUUUUUUUGUGUUCUAACAUUUAAAAAUUUUAGUUAAUAGAAAAAUAUUUUUUUGAUUAAAGAAAAAAAAAGUUAUUUAAAAAAAGUUAUUUCUACAUUCAAAUGAGAAUUCAUUUUUAGUGUUUUAAAAUUUUUAUUAAAAUUUCUAUAUAUAAAUUUUUUAAAUUAAAAUUAAAUAAUAAAAAAUUAUUUCUAUUUAAAAAAUAUUUUUUAAAUAUUAAAUUAUUUUCCACAAACAAACGUAAUAUAAAUUAUAAUUUAGUUUACCUAUAUAGGUACACCAUCUAAUUAUUUUACUAAUGACUCGUUAGUUUUAUGAAAUUUUUUUUUUUAGAAAAAUAUUUUUUUACAUCUUUUGAGGGUUUUAACCUUUAGAAAAUUUAAUUAAUAAAAAAUAUUUUAUUAAUUAAAAUAAAAAUUAAAUCAUUUUAAAGAAAAUUAAUUUUAAAAAGAAAAAAUAUAAAAAAUACUCCAUAAUGUAUUAAUUUUUUAUUUCCGUUCAAUUUAUAUUAAAAUAAUAAUUGUGAUAUUGCUCUGUUAGCAAAUAGCAGUAAUUUAAGUAAUUUAACAUAAAAAUUAUAUCACGAAUUACUAAUUUAAUACAAAUUGAAUUACAAAUCUAAAAUAAAAAUGAAUAAAAAUAUAUGCUAUUUUUUUAUAUUUUCUAAUUAAUAAAUAUAUUUUAUUUGUUAUAUCAGUAAUAUUUUAUGACAUCAUAAAAUUACCAUUAUUUAUUAAUUUAUAAUAGAUAUUAUUUUAACAUAAAUUUGAUCUACUGACUUUAAAAUAAAAAUGACUAAAAUUAUAUAAUAAUUUUUUAUAAUUUUUUUAAAAAAAUUAUUUUUCUGAAAAUAUUAUUAAAAUUUUUAUAUAUAAAUUUAUUAAUAUAUUUUAAUUUUUAAAUUAAAAUUAAAUAAUGAAAAUAAAUUAUUUUAUUAAAAAAUAUUUUACAAAUAUAAAUUAUUUUCUAUAAAUAAAUGAAGUCUUAAUGUUUUUUUUGGGAAAUAUUCUUCUCUUCUUUUUGGCCAUUUCUGGAUAAGGGAGACUUUCUCCCAACUGAAUUGUGGAUAUCAUCUCUACCUAUAGAUUGGCUGUGUAUUAGUUUUGUGUUGCAAGUCUUAUAGAUUCAAGGUAGAGAAUGAGUUUUUAGACCUACACGCGAUGGUUUACAAUGAUCUAUUAUUUUACGGUGUUGGAGCUCUAUGCAUAGGUAGAGAGUUGUGAUGCUGCAAUGGGAAGCUAUCUUUAGGCCAUUUUCAACGGUGCGCUAAUUUUCAUUUUGGCGUUGGAGGUGGCCCUUCAAAACUGUGCCAAAAUCUAACGGUUCUUUUUUAAAUUAUAAUAUAAUUCAAAAUUUUUAAUUUUUUUUACUCUUAUAAUUUAUUAUAUUUUUAAUUUAUUUUAUAUUUUUAUAAUUAUUGAAAUUUAAUUUAAAUUAAUAUAUUCACAAUUAUAAAUAAUAUUUAUAAUAAAUUAAUUUAUUUAUAAUAUAUUAUAUAAAAUAAUAUAAAUAAAUUAGUAAAUUGACACAUAUAUUAUAAUUGAACUUCGUAAUGAGCAUUUGUGGGAGUAAUAUACAAAUUCAAAUGAUCAUAUAAAUUAGCUUAUAAUUUUUUAUUGAUAAUUUAGUAUGUAUGAGUUUAUUUUAUUUUUAAUUUGCUAAUUAAUGUUUAAUUAAUGUAUGUUUAUAAUUAAUGUUUAAGUAAUAUUUUUUUAUAAUUAUUAUUUAAUUAAUACAUUUUUAUAAUUAAUAUGUUUUUUUGUUUAUUUAUAAAAUAAUUAAAUAUUUCAAUAUAAGAUGGAAAUAUAAAAUAUAUAAAUAUUUAGAGUGAAUAUAUAAAAUUAUAUGAAUUUUUUGAGUGAAAUAUAUAAAUAAAAUUAAAGUAAAAUAAAUAAUAUAAUAUUAAAGAUAAAAGAAUAUAAAUAAAAUAUUUUUUUGGUGUUAAAAUUUGUGCAGAAGGUCAGAGAUAAUAUUGCACCAUUUUAGUACAAAGUACCAAAAUAGUGCAAAAAAUGAUGCAUAGAGUUGGAAAUGGCCUUAUUGUCAUACCCGGCUGGAGUCCGGCAUCGGAAUUCUACUUUCCGGUGGAGUCCGGGAUGUCGGAAGUCUCUAGAAGGGUAGGAUUUAUGUUUUCCGACAGUGUUAUGAUGCAUUUGAAGGUUUUUAGUUGAAUUGAUUUGAGUUGGUUUGAGGAAAGGAAGAGAAAAGGCUAUGGAGACUUUUGCCAAGUUCGGCCGCCGAAGGUAAGUUCGGCCGCCGAAAGUGCCCAAUGUUCGGCUUCCGCAGUUCAGAUUCGGCCCCCGAAUGUUGCAUGGUUUUGCAUGCGAUUCGGCAGCCGAAGCUGAGUUGCUCAGCCAACUAAUGAGCAUUCCUGAGUCAGCAUUUUGGACAGGUGUUGGCUCCACACCCUGUCCAGAAGCUUGGCCACGUCUCCUAUAUUGUUCAGCUCCUGCAAGUGUGUUGUUUUGUUGGGUGUCAAAAGUUUUGAGAGUUUGAAGCAAAAAGCUUAGGUUUGAGAGUUUAUGCGUGUGAAGAGAGUUGAUUCAUUUUCUUUGUUCAGAUCGUUCAUCUUCUUGAAUACAGGAGGUAAGUGAAGAUCUUGAACAUGUUUUACUGUUUUACAGAAGCUUUAUGAAGGUUUGGGUAGAGAUGCAUGCUUAGGUGACAAAGGGUGUUUUCUUUUGAUGGUUUAGCUUGUAAGCAUGAUUAUGUGUUCUGUGUGAUGUGUUUUGUUGGGGUGUUUAGGUAGUUUUGGACCCCUUUGUACAUAUAUAUGAGUAUAUGUGUGUGGAGGAGUUGAGGUAUGCAUGUUUUGAGAGCUUGAAGGGAUGGAGGAGCUUGUUUGUCGUCGGGGCUGAGUUCUGGAUGAACUCAGGUUCGGUAGCCGAAGGUUCAUUCGGCCGCCGAACCUCUUGCAUGGUGGCUUAGGCUGCCACAGCUUGCCCCCGCGAGUUUUGAAUGUUCGGCUCUGUUUGGGGGAUUCGGCCGCCGAAGGUGCCGCCGAAGGUUAGAGACUUUCGUCUCUGGAGUGCCUUUUGGCCCCCGAAACUUGCCCCCGAAAGGGUUCGGCCGCCGAAGCUUGAGAUUCGGCCGCCGAAGGUGCUUGAGUUUCGUCUCUGGAGAAGACUUUCGGCCGCCGAACCUGCCGCCGAAAGUGUUCUGUCCAGCUUUCUUUUGCCUACUUUGCAUGGUUAGUUGAGUGAGUUUAAGGGGAUGUUUAGGGAGGUUAAUAGAGUUAUUCAGAAGCUUGUUUGGUCCCUCAUUUGAGUCCAUCUGUAUAGGUACAGAUCAGAGGAACCAGAGAGAGCAGCAGUGAGUACUGCUCCAGCGUGUUCAGAGCCUGCAGAGUCAGUCCAGUUAGCCAGAGGUGAGUGGAGCUAAACUUCAUUCUUUUACUUGCACAAUGGAAUGUUUUAGCAUAUCUCAUGCAUCAUGAUUAUGCCAUAGGUUGAGUGCAUUAGUACCCACAAAUAUGUUGCAUUGCAUAGUUAUUUGUUGAUGUGGGUAAAUGCUGAAUGAUCCCAUAGUCACAGACAGGAAGUCCAGGAGUCUUUGACUACGCCCUGGCAAUGGUAAGUACAGAGGUGUUAUAUACACAUAUACAUAUAUGACAGGAAGACCAGGUGCUCGAUUCUACGCCCUGGCACAGAGCUACUGGGACUAUGUGGUGACAGGUUUACUCUUGAUGUGGCUUGUUUGUGUUAUGACACAUUCAAUGAGAUCAUGUUUUACUGAGAUGUUUUACUGUUCUACUCACUGGGCUAUAGAGCUCAUCCCACUCCCUUAACCCCAGUUUUGCAGGUUCAGUAUACAGUGUACAGGGACAGUCCAGCAGGAUACAGAAAGAGUAAAGAGAUGUGUAAUAGUGUAGAGUGGACAUGUAAUGUUAAAGAGAGAUGUAAUGGUUCUGUUUUCAGUUACAGAUGUGCUUGACUUAGUCGUUUGUGAUGUAAAUCUGUUGUUUUGUACAUGAUCUGUCUAUGUAUAUGUUUUCCUGUAUGUGUGAAAAUCAGGCGUAACAGGUAUGAGUUAACCCAUCUAGAGUAAGCUCUAGUCAGGGGUACAGAGUACAGAGUACAGAGUACAGAGUACAGAGAUAGUGCAUGCACAGGUUAAGCCUUGGUUCAGAAAAGAGAUUUUAUUUUUCACAGAAAAUGUAUGAUCAUGUAUGAGUUAUACAAGUACACAGAGAGUAUAGCAGGCUUGCUACGAGUUCUGGCGGCCUUAAGCCGACCUGAAUCCUAGCGCCGGUGACAGUCCAUUUUGGGGUCGUUACAGAUUGGUAUCAGAGCCCUAAGUUCACAUGAUCGGACCUAUAGAGACAGUGUCGGGCUCAUAACAGGUAGCAGUGGUCAAGCACAAUAGGAAAUCAUGUCCACCAGGAUAGGGUCUUGAGUCCUAUCUGUUUCAUGCCAUGAGUUAUGCAUGUGCCUUCUUGCUAUGUGCUGUUUAUGUGCUAAAGUGCUAUGUUAUAUGUUGUGUUUCCAGCUAGUAAAGAUGAGAGGAACUCGUCGAUCAGCUCGAUUGACUGGAGGCCCCCCAGAUAGUGAGAGACCAGCUGCUCGUCCUCCUGCAUUGCCAAGGGCAAGGUCGCAGAGAUCUAGCAGGGAAGGUACGUCAAUAGACCCUAGAAGGUCUGUCGACGAGAGCAGAAGAGGAACAGUGAGGGGAGGAAGAUCAGAGGAAAGGAGGGAAGCGAUGGAGAUUGAUCAGUCAAGAGAUGAUAGCAUGGGUAUAGGCAGUUUUGAGGAAGGUAUGGGAGAGUCGCAGGGAGGUGCUCAGACCUCAGGUUUUGGCUACCCAGAGUAUCCGAUGGGAGGUAUGUCGGAGUACUCUAGUUUUGUGCCAUAUCCUUCUUACAUGCCAUAUAUGCCUUAUCCCUCUUACUACCCACCAUAUCCUAUGUAUCCAUCUUCCCCUACCCAUCCAAGUGCAGCACACCCAGAGCCAAAUGAACCAGUACCACCACCAGAACCAGUAGCCCCUGUUGUUGACAGACAUCAACCUAGCUCAUCUGGAGGUAAGGUACAAAUGACGGAGUACUUGAAAUUGGAUGCUCCUAAAUAUAACACGGGAAAUGAUCCAUUUGAAUACCUCAGAUCAGUUAGGAUGAUAACUAGUGAGUUGGGAGCUGAUGAUAGUAGAGCCAUUGAGAUGGCAGGGUUUACACUUAAAUGCAAGAAAGCCAGAGAAUGGUUUAAGAAUUAUGUGGAACCCAGAAUGAACAGUAUGUCUUGGGGAGAGUUCGCCAAUGAGUUUGCAGGGUGGGCUUUUCCUGACAGUUCUAGGGAGAUGAAAGUAAUUGAGUUUGAACAGUUGCGACAGACAGAUGAGAUGAGUGUUGAUGAAUUCACAGAUAAGUUUCUGGAUUUGCUUCAGUAUGUGGGUCAAGCCUAUGAUACUGAUCAGAAGAAGGCAAGGAGAUAUACUAUGAGAUUGCAUCCCAGGUAUUCUUCUUUGAUUCUUCCAGCAGAAAAGGAGAGUUUCCACACGAUAGUGGACGCCGCCAGGAAAAUGGAAGCUAGUGCCAAUAUUCAGAAACAGUCAAAGGCACAGGCUUCGGGUUCUAAAGCCCCCACUUCAGGCAGCAAGAAAUGGGAUAGAGCGAAAGGAACAAAGAGUAAGUUCUGGAGUAAAGUGAAGUCAGGUCUGGGAAUAGGUAGUGGCUCAAGCUCUGGCACAGCUCCAGUCUGCAGACGAUGCGGAAAACCACAUGGAGGAGUUUGUCAGUUGGGAUCUACAGCUUGUUUUCGCUGUGGACAGGAAGGACAUAUUGCUCGGAAUUGUCCUCAGGUGACUUUUGCACCAUCCCAGCAGAUGAGUUCAGGCAGUGUGGUACAGCCAGUUGUUCGGCCAGCAGCUCCAGUCAUGCCUCAAAGUAGUGGCAGAGGUAGAGGGAGAGGGGCAGCCUCUACUUCAGCAGCAGGUUCCCGAGGUGGAAAUUCGGUAGCCCCAGCACGGAUUUUCACUGUGACACAGGAGGAGGCGAACACGUCGAACACAGUGGUGUCGGUAAUCUCAUCAUUGGGUGUUCAGAUGUGUAUGCUUUGAUGGACCCCGGUGCUUCUCAUUCCUUUAUUGCUUCGAGAGCCAUAGAGAGAUUGGGUUUGAUCAGUUCUGAGUUAGAGUAUCCUCUCUGGGUCAGUGGACCUAGAUGUGACCCAUCAGUGGCAGUGUCAGUCUGUCGUUUCAGUCUAGUGUUCAUAGAGGGUAGAUACCUUCUAGCUGACCUUGUGGUUCUAGAUUUGACGGAUUUUGAUGUCAUUCUAGGGAUGGAUUGGUUAUCUACAUAUAGUGCUACAUUGGACUGUAGAGAGAAGAUAGUGAGUCUCAGAGACCAGGAUGGGUCAGAGUGUGUCUUUAGAGGAGACAGGAGAGGUACACCCAGAGGUAUGAUUUUAGCCCUUCAGGCUCAUCGUUUGCUUAGGAGGGGUUGUCAGGGGUUUCUAGCUCAUGUGAGAGAGCUAGACAGUCAGGUGAGGGAACCAGCCACCGUACCAGUAGUUCGAGAGUUUCUCGAUGUGUUCCCAGACGAUUUACCAGGACUCCCACCUGAUAGGGAGAUAAGGUUUGAAAUUGAAUUGCUGCCAGGUACCAGACCUAUCUCUAUUCCUCCCUACAGGAUGGCGCCAGCAGAGUUACAAGAGUUGAAAGAACAGUUGCAGGAUUUGGUAGAUAAGGGUUUCAUCCGCCCUAGUACCUCACCUUGGGGUGCUCCAGUGCUCUUUGUCAGAAAGAAGGAUGGAUCCCUCAGACUUUGUAUCGACUACAGACAGUUGAACAAGGUCACUAUCAAGGAUAGGUAUCCUCUACCUAGGAUUGAUGAUCUAUUUGACCAGCUAGCUGGAGCAGGUUGUUUCUCUAAAAUAGAUCUGAGAUCCGGGUAUCAUCAGUUGAGAGUCAGAGAGGCAGAUGUGCCUAAGACAGCUUUCAGGACCAGAUAUGGGCAUUAUGAGUUCUUAGUGAUGCCGUUCGGGUUGACUAACGCCCCUGCAGCAUUCAUGGAUCUCAUGAAUAGAGUGUUCAGUGAGUUUCUGGAUCACUUUGUCAUUGUUUUCAUCGAUGAUAUUUUGGUGUAUUCCAGAGAUGCAGAGGAGCAUGCCCAGCAUCUGAGGAUAGUUUUGCAGACACUGAGAGAGCAUGGUUUGUAUGCCAAGUUCUCGAAGUGUGAGUUUUGGUUGAGGAGCAUUGCCUUCUUGGGACACGUGGUAUCAGCAGAGGGUAUUGAGGUAGACCCCAAGAAGAUAGAGGCUGUAGCGAACUGGCCCAGACCCACUACGGUGACUGAGAUUAAAAGCUUUCUGGGACUGGCAGGUUACUACAGGAGGUUCGUGCAGAACUUCUCAAAGAUAGCAGCUCCGAUGACCAAACUAACUCAGAAGAAUCAGAAGUUUGUCUGGUCAGACCAGUGUGAAGAGAGCUUUGAGGAGCUCAAGCGGAGAUUGACCACAGCACCAGUGUUAGCUCUGCCUGUCAGUAAUGAGGAUUUCACAGUGUUCUGUGAUGCAUCUCGAGUGGGAUUGGGUUGUGUAUUGAUGCAGAGUGAGCGGGUGAUAGCUUAUGCUUCUAGACAGUUGAAGAAGCACGAGUNNNNNNNNNNNNNNNNNNNNNNNNNNNNNNNNNNNNNNNNNNNNNNNNNNNNNNNNNNNNNNNNNNNNNNNNNNNNNNNNNNNNNNNNNNNNNNNNNNNNNNNNNNNNNNNNNNNNNNNNNNNNNNNNNNNNNNNNNNNNNNNNNNNNNNNNNNNNNNNNNNNNNNNNNNNNNNNNNNNNNNNNNNNNNNNNNNNNNGUCGUGGUGGAGCUUUACAAGCUCUUAGAAGAAGGGUUACAGUUAGAGUUGUCUGGUACAGGUGCAUUGAUAGCACAGAUGCGAGUGACACCUGUGUUUCUGGAGCAGAUAGCUCGGAGACAGCAUGAGGACCCUGAGUUGAUGAAAAUUGCCAGGACUGUUCAGUCAGGCAACAGUGCAGAGUUCAGCUUUGACAGCAAAGGGAUCCUCCGCUAUGGGAAUCGACUUUGUGUACCAGAUACGAGCAGUGUGAAGGCAGACAUUAUGAGGGAAGCUCAUAAUGCGCGGUAUAGUGUUCACCCAGGAGCCACCAAGAUGUAUCAAGAUCUGAAAAAGGUCUAUUGGUGGCCAGCCAUGAAGAUAGAAGUGGCACAAUUUGUGACAGCCUGUGAGAUUUGCCAGAGGGUGAAACUAGAGCAUCAGAAACCAGCAGGAAUGCUUAACCCAUUGCCGAUUCCAGAGUGGAAAUGGGAGAACAUAGCCAUGGAUUUUGUAGUGGGUUUACCAGCAGCAUCCAACAGGAUAGACUCUAUAUGGGUGAUUGUGGACAGACUCACGAAAUCUGCUCAUUUUCUUCCAGUACGGAGUAACUAUUCUGUGGAUAAGUUGGCACAGGUCUAUCUGGAUGAGAUAGUGAGAUUACAUGGAGUUCCAGUGUCUAUAGUUUCAGACAGAGGACCUCAGUUUACCUCUAGAUUUUGGCGAAGUCUGCAGAGUGCGAUGGGCACGAGAUUAGAGUUUAGCACUGCUUUCCACCCACAGACUGAUGGACAGUCAGAGAGGACCAUCCAGACCAUAGAGGAUAUGCUUCGACUGUGUGUGUUAGACUUUGGCGGUUUUUGGCGGCAGCAUCUACCUUUGGUGGAGUUUGCCUACAAUAACAGCCAUCAUGCUAGCAUAGGGAUGGCUCCUUAUAAAGCUUUGUAUGGGAGGAAGUGCAGAUCCCCUGUUUGUUGGGAAGAAAUAAGAGAGAAGGCUCUUGCAGGGCCAGAGUUAGUAGAGAUUACCAGUAGAGUGGUGCCCGUGAUCAGAGAGAGAAUCAGAACAGCGCAGAGUAGACAGAAAAGUUAUGCAGACGUGCGCAGAAAAUAGUUAGAGUUUCAGGAGGGUAAUAUGGUAUUGCUGAAAGUGUCUCCAAUGAAAGGAGUGGUUCGUUUUGGGAAGAAGGGUAAAUUAGCUCCACGGUACAUUGGACCCUUUGAAAUUGUGCAGAGGAUCGGCAAUGUGUCAUAUAAGCUGGAUUUACCUGCUUCUAUGGCGAGAAUUCACCCGGUAUUUCAUGUUUCUAUGCUACGGCAGUUUGUGUCAGAUCCGAAUCAGGUUCUGAGUGAGCCUGAGGUGGAGAUUCUUACAGAUCUCACCUAUAUAGAGCAGCCAGUGCGGAUUCUGGACACGCAGAUCAGACAGCUAAGAAACAAGGAGAUUCCGAUGGUGAAAGUUCUAUGGAACCACCAUAAUCUAGAAGAGUGCACCUGGGAGACGCGAGAGUCGAUGCUCCAGCAGUAUCCAUAUUUGUUUUGAGGUUAGUUUCCUCCGUUUUUUGUGUUAUUUGUGUUAGUAUCAUUCGAGGACGAAUGUUCUUAAGGGGGGGAGAAUGUAAUACCCGGCUGGAGUCCGGCAUCGGAAUUCUACUUUCCGGUGGAGUCCGGGAUGUCGGAAGUCUCUAGAAGGGUAGGAUUUAUGUUUUCCGACAGUGUUAUGAUGCAUUUGAAGGUUUUUAGUUGAUUUGAUUUGAGUUGGUUUGAGGAAAGGAAGAGAAAAGGCUAUGGAGACUUUUGCCAAGUUCGGCCGCCGAAGGUAAGUUCGGCCGCCGAAAGUGCCCAAUGUUCGGCUUCCGCAGUUCAGAUUCGGCCCCCGAAUGUUGCAUGGUUUUGCAUGCGAUUCGGCAGCCGAAGCUGAGUUGCUCAGCCAACUAAUGAGCAUUCCUGAGUCAGCAUUUUGGACAGGUGUUGGCUCCACACCCUGUCCAGAAGCUUGGCCACGUCUCCUAUAUUGUCCAGCUCCUGCAAGUGUGUUGUUUUGUUGGGUGUCAAAAUUUUUGAGAGUUUGAAGCAAAAAGCUUAGGUUUGAGAGUUUAUGCGUGUGAAGAGAGUUGAUUCAUUUUCUUUGUUCAGAUCGUUCAUCUUCUUGAAUACAGGAGGUAAGUGAAGAUCUUUACAGAAGCUUUAUGAAGGUUUGGGUAGAGAUGCAUGCUUAGGUGACAAAGGGUGUUUUCUUUUGAUGGUUUAGCUUGUAAGCAUGAUUAUGUGUUCUGUGUGAUGUGUUUUGUUGGGGUGUUUAGGUAGUUUUGGACCCCUUUGUACAUAUACAUGAGUAUAUGUGUGUGGAGGAGUUGAGGUAUGCAUGUUUUGAGAGCUUGAAGGGAUGGAGGAGCUUGUUUGCCAUCGGGGCUGAGUUCUGGAUGAACUCAGGUUCGGCAGCCGAAGGUUCAUUCGGCCGCCGAACCCCUUGCAUGGUGGCUUAGGCUGCCACAGCUUGCCCCCGCGAGUUUUGAAUGUUCGGCUCUGUUUGGGGGAUUCGGCCGCCGAAGGUGCCGCCGAAGGUUAGAGACUUUCGUCUCUGGAGUGCCUUUUGGCCCCCGAAACUUGCCCCCGAAAGGGUUCGGCCGCCGAAGCUUGAGAUUCGGCCGCCGAAGGUGCUUGAGUUUCGUCUCUGGAGAGGACUUUCGACCGCCGAACCUGCCGCCGAAAGUGUUCUGUCCAGCUUUCUUUUGCCUGCUUUGCAUGGUUAGUUGAGUGAGUUUAAGGGGAUAUUUGGGGAGGUUAAUAGAGUUAUUCAGAAGCUUGUUUGGUCCCUCAUUUGAGUCCAUCUGUAUAGGUACAGAUCAGAGGAACCAGAGAGAGCAGCAGUGAGUACUGCUCCAGCGUGUUCAGAGCCUGCAGAGUGAGUCCAGUUAGCCAGAGGUGAGUGGAACUAAACUUCAUUCUUUUACUUGCACAAUGGAAUGUUUUAGCAUAUCUCAUGCAUCAUGAUUAUGCCAUAGGUUGAGUGCAUUAGUACCCACGAAUAUGUUGCAUUGCAUAGUUAUUUGUUGAUGUGGGUAAAUGCUGAAUGAUCCCAUAGUCACAGACAGGAAGUCCAGGAGCCUUUGACUACGCCCUGGCAGGUAUAGCAAAGUCCAGGAGCCUUUGACUACGCCCUGGCAGGUAUAGCAAAGACCAGGAGCCUUUGACUACGCCCUGGCAAUGGUAAGUACAGAGGUGUUAUAUACACAUAUACAUAUAUGACAGGAAGACCAGGUGCUCGAUUCUACGCCGUGGCACAGAGCUACUGGGACUAUGUGGUGACAGGUUUACUCUUGAUGUGGCUUGUUUGUGUUAUGACGCAUUCCAUGAGAUCAUGUUUUACUGAGAUGUUUUACUAUUCUACUCAAUGGGCUAUAGAGCUCAUCCCACUCCCUUAACCCCAGUUUUGCAGGUUCAGUAUACAGUGUACAGGGACAGUCCAGCAGGAUACAGAAAGAGUAAAGAGAUGUGUAAUAGUGUAGAGUGGACAUGUAAUGUUAAAGAGAGAUGUAAUGGUUCUGUUUUCAGUUACAGAUGUGCUUGACUUAGUCGUUUGUGAUGUAAAUCUGUUGUUUUGUACAUGAUCUGUUUAUGUAUAUGUUUUCCUGUAUGUGUGAAAACCAGGCGUAACAGGUAUGAGUUAACCCAUCUAGAGUAAGCUCUAGUCAGGGGUACAGAGUACAGAGUACAGAGUACAGAGUACAGAGUACAAAGAUAGUGCAUGCACAGGUUAAGCCUUGGUUCAGAAAAGAGAUUUUAUUUUUCACAGAAAAUGUAUGAUCAUGUAUGAGUUGUACAGGUACACAGAGAGUAUAGCAGGCUUGCUACGAGUUCUGGCGGCCUUAAGCCGACCUGAAUCCUAGCGCCGGUGACGGUCCAUUUUGGGGUCGUUACACUUAUAGCCUCAUUUUUACUUUUCUUCAAUAGAAUAGUUAACCCUUAACGUUAACAAAAAGUAAAAUGUCAGUAAAAUUUGUUAUUCCUAUUUUUUAUAGUCCUAAUUUAUGAUUUGUUCGAGUGUUUGAGAUUUUUUUUAUAAAUUAUUAAAUAUUCAAAAUUUACUGAUUUGACUAAUUUAAAUUCGCGCUGAACAGACCUAUUAAGAGGUAAAACUAUCAUUCUCAAGUUUUUAAAAGUAUUUUAUAGUUUGAAUUUAAAAUCUCUAAUUAAAAGAGAAAAAAUUCGGAUUAUCUCAUCUCAUAUAUCAAAAUGAAUGCUUAAAUUUUAAUUUAGGAGGAGAAUAAAUUUUUAUCAACAUAUAUCUAAUGUUUGAAGGCUUUGAUACUCCCAUGAGAUUGCCUAUGUCUUCUUUUUCUAGUUUGGUGGUUCAACUCCGGUAUUGCGAAAAAUGUUCAGGCUUUGUUAUGCUAUGCUUAUGGAGUUUUCAUAUUCUAACAUCUUAUUUUAUUUUAUAAACUCUUUUAUUUGUUUACACUAUGUUUAGAUAAUAUGUAAUAUGUAGAAAAUAGGAAAGAAGAAAAAUAAUUAAGAAAACUAAUGAAAGAAUUCUACUUUCUAUUUUUAUUUAAAACAGUGGAGAAAAUAAAGCAAAAUAAUCUUUAUUUUACUUUAAUUUUUUUUCUCUCCGGUCUAGAAAGAAACUAGCAAAGAAUUAUGUUUUUUUUUUAAUUUUAAAUUUACAUUACGUAAACAAUAGAAAAAAAAAAAGUAUAAUGAUAAAUUUGUAAAUAUAUAAUCANNNNNNNNNNNNNNNNNNNNNNNNNNNNNNNNNNNNNNNNNNNNNNNNNNNNNNNNNNNNNNNNNNNNNNNNNNNNNNNNNNNNNNNNNNNNNNNNNNNNNNNNNNNNNNNNNNNNNNNNNNNNNNNNNNNNNNNNNNNNNNNNNNNNNNNNNNNNNNNNNNNNNNNNNNNNNNNNNNNNNNNNNNNNNNNNNNNNNNNNNNNNNNNNNNNNNNNNNNNNNNNNNNNNNNNNNNNNNNNNNNNNNNNNNNNNNNNNNNNNNNNNNNNNNNNNNNNNNNNNNNNNNNNNNNNNNNNNNNNNNNNNNNNNNUUUUUUCCUUCUCCUCUUUUCGAUUCUAUUUGACGGAAUAGGGGUUUUUUUGUGGAUUCUCUUUAUCAGUAGUAAUAAGGAGAAGAGUUCACAAAGCUAUGGCGAUUUCUUCUCUCUCUGCUUCAACAAUUCCAUCUUUGAAGACACCGCCCUCACAGCUGACUACUACCAAUUUGACUUCCUUGUCUUCGCUGCAGUUUCCAGCGCAGCUUCAGAGGCUUCAGUUUAGGGUCAGAGGGAUUUCCUCUCCUUCCAGGUCUCGAAUUUUGCAUCUGGUAAUGCUCUUAUACUCGAUCAUUUCCUCCCACCUCUUAUGUUUCGUUUUCUUCUUUUUCCCUUUUUGGAGGAGACUGAAGGAUGCAAAUUAGGUGAUACGGAUUUUAGAAUAGAAUAAUAAUUAGAGGAUGUAACAUAAACAUCUCUUGUUCAAUUUUUACGUAGGUCCUAGGCAAUUGGGUUGAAGUCAAUUUGAGAGAUAUGCUCACAUUCUAUGGAGUUUGUUCUUGAUUUUGUGCAGCUUAAAAAGCUCUGCUUAAGAUUUUAGCUGCUGUCAAUUGGUCUCAAGGGUGUUUAGUGCUUAGUGUUGGAUGCUUUUAUUUGGUCAGUUGGCUGAAAAGGAGAGUAGGAAGGAACUGGGUCCUAUGAAUAGUUACGUGUAGAGUCGUCAUAUUUGUUUUCAAUAUAAUUUCUACAUAUCGGAUGUUGCCCCUACCUCCUGGCAACUGACAAUACUAUUAGAAAAUAUCGGAUCUUAUAGUAAUUCCUCGUGAAAGAAGGAGAAGAAGAAGAAGAAGAAGAAGAAGAAGAAGAAGAAGAAAUAAUGUCAAUGGGAUUUAGAUUGAGGUCAUUUUGGGGCAUAUGAUUCUAUGUGAAAUCCUUAUUUUUUUUCAUUUCCAAAUAUCAAAGAUGAGAAUGAAUGAAUGGGUUUCCCGUUCCAUAUCCUCAUAAACCUGGCAAUUUCUUGGAGUAAUAGUUCAUUUCAUAAAAAUAGUUUUUAAAGACCAUAGUGGAAUUCAGAAUCCACUGGGUGCUUUUGCAAUGGUUCAUUUCAAUUUACUGCUUUACUUCAUUUUUAGCGGUUCUUACUUAUGUAAUGAAUAAAAUAUGUUCUGGAGGAUAUUUUGGCAGUAGUGCAUAAUUGGUGAAGGGCAUUUCUUUUUCUUAAAAAAUUGAAAUUACUUCAUGAAGUCAGUGCUUAAUAAUCUCAAAUCUCAAAUUUUUACCCAUCAACAGUAUGCUGGCAUUUUGGUGAUGUAUACUUUCGAAGAAAUUUAUUCUAUGACUAUGACAGAACUAUCUUUCUUCCUUUUCCAUCUCUAAUUCUGAGUUUAUAUUAUUCUGGGUAUAUUAGAUGCUCCUUCUUACAUUCAAAGUUCUGUCAAUUAGUAUGCUAUAUAUGUAACAACUAUUGUUGUCUUUUAUGCUUAUGCAUGAGCAUCAUGAUCCCUCAUGCUUUCUACCCAUUACACUUGAUCCCUAAGAAAUAAAUUGAGUUGCAGAUUUCAAGUUAGAUACAUGCUCUUUUUUCUUUUUUAUUUACCUUUUAGCUAGACAAAGUAAUUUAGUGGGAGCGGACAUUCGAUAUGCUUAAAGCUUAGUAGGUGAACAAAGUCAAGUCUUCACAAGAACAGCAAAUCUUGAAGAUGUAACUUAGUGUGGAAAGAAAUUGCUUGAUGUGUUGGAUUUGUUAUUCCAGAUAGUUGUUGCCUAGGCUCAUAGUAAUUGGUAUAUUUAGUAGUAGUUUGCAACUUAUCUUUUAGAGUUUGAGAAUUUAAUCAGAAGUUUCUUGACAUUAGAUUGGCAGCCAAACACAGUAUGCCCAUUUGAUUAUGGAACUAUGAAGUUAAUGCCAAUAUUAUGCUUCUGGUUCUUAGAAGAUGGGAUUUUUUUAUGGAUUUUUUAUCUCUCCAUUACUGUAUGUAAUUUGUUGUAAAUGUAAUAAAGAGAAUGCUCAAUCUUACUAGAUUAGAUUGGUCUUAUUAGUUGCUUUAUGUGCUAGUUUCUUUUUGCAUCUGUACUAUAUUGAGUUUAAACAAUUUGCUAAAUGAUUGUGCAGGUUGCAGCAAAGAAGCAAACAUUUUCAUCCCUUGAUGAGUUGUUGGAAAAUGCUGACAAGCCAGUGUUGGUCGACUUCUAUGCAACCUGGUGACUUCCUUUUCGUUCCUUUUCAAUGUGUUUUCUUUCUAGCCUUUCUUUUAUUACAUUUUAUGAGAAAGAAUUGUGUCAUGGAGAUGACGUCUGAUCAUCUUCAAAUCACCUAAAACCCUGCAGUAAAUUCUUCCAUCUUCCCAAUUAAAUAAUUAGAGUUAAUUUGCUGGCCUUAAGAGAUUUUUUUUAGAAUAUGUGAUGAGCAUUUUGUGCUAAAGACUGCAAUGAUGCUGAAUAAGGAUCUUUAAGAUGCAGAUUUUUUUUUUUAAAACUUUGACAUGGGUUGGAAUAGCAAUCAGAGAAUAAGAAUAAAUAGGCCAAGCUGUUGUUUGCAGGUGCGGUCCUUGCCAGCUUAUGAGUCCAAUUCUUGAUCAAGCAAGUGCUGUCCUAAAAGACACGAUCCAGGUGGUAAAAAUUGAUACUGAGAAGUACCCGAGCAUUGCUGACAAAUAUAGAAUAGAAGCAUUGCCUACAUUUAUCAUCUUUAAGGAUGGCAAACCUUAUGACCGCUUUGUAAGUUCGUUCAGUAUCUGUAAGCUUCUUUGAAAAAAAAUAAUUUUACAUCUUCAGGAUGAUAUUCUUGAAAUGCAAUGCUUUUUGUGAGACCAUCAACAAGGGUUUUCUCUUCACGUGUAUCUGAUUGCUGAUUGUCUUGUCAAUGGCAUUCUUUAUGAUAGAAAUUAAAAUAAAAUAUAGAAAAGGAAUAAGUAGGAGAUACUAUAUAUAAAACGUUUGCUACAAGGCUUACAAUCUGAAUCUGCUAGAGCCAGAGGAGAGCAAAUCACUUCCUCUCAAUAUUAUUUAUCCCCAUGCUGCAAUUCUUUCUUUUUAAAUUUUAGUCUACCAUUUGAUGUUUCAACGCCCAUGUACUGUCAUCCAUUUUCUGAUUUUGACUUGUUACUGACCUUGCUGCCUUGGUGUGGUAAUUUCCAGGAGGGUGCUUUGCCUAAAGAUAAGUUCAUUGAACGCAUCGAGAAUUCACUGCAAGUGAAGCAAUAGAUAUGGUAACCCUUGUCCCUUUUUAAGUCUGUCCCUUUCAGAAUGCGUAACCCUUGUCCCUUUUUAAGUCUGCCCCUUUCAGAAUGCAUUUGCAUGCUAUGAGACCCCAUAAAUAAACUCACUCCCAAUUUCGGCGCACAGAUUCUAUGAGGAAUGAAAUAUGAAGCCAUUAUGUGUAAUUUUUUACUAGGAAGGUCACCCAUUCUUCGCCUCCCAGAAUGCUGUAACGAGGGUAAUUGUACCUAAAAGAGUGAUAAACACAAAAAUACAAUAGCAUAUUUGUUUAUAACUCUUGGAAAUUUUGCAAAAAGAUUGUAUUUGUUUUUGAAACAUUUAUAAGCUCCACUCUUUUAAUGGUUACUGGACUUGGUGCAGCCAUCGUUGAUCAGGUCAUGUUAUCUCUUGGUUGAAUAAGUUUAUUCCAUUGCAGUUUCUGGAUCGAUUAGAAAGUUAGGCUACUAAAAGAAGUCCUGGAUUCAAAAUUUUCCACUCAGCAAGAUUGUGUAGGGGCAGCUAUGCAUGAUUGCUUCCUGCCAACUGUGGAAGCUUCAGAUUCUAACCUUUGUAGGGCAGAACCUUGGCUUGGUUUUUUGAUUAAUUUCAUGUUUCUACACAUCUUCCUCAUGUUGCAAUAGUUUAAAAUUACCAAGUUCAACUUUAAGCCAUUGAUGGAGGAAGGAAUCGACAUUGAGCUUGAUAAAAAUGAGAUUUAUUAUUAUUAAUAUUAUUUUAAGAAAAGAUUUAUACUUCGUUUGGAAUUAGUAUAUAGUUUUUCUUUAAGAAAUAACUUUUAGAAAAAAUUCAAUAUACUAAAAAAUUGAGAAGUUUAAAUAUUUUAAAUUUUUUAAUUAUGGUAAUGUAUAAUGGCUAGUCACGUGACAUGCAUUUAUCAGGCAUUUCCUUGUUAGUGUCAUUUUUUGAUAAAUUACAUAAUAAAUUAAAAGAGAGAGAAAGAGGAGAGAUGAAAUCUCGGAAAACGAAUCAAUGGAGAAGGGCAGCUGAAGUAGUGCGAUUGCGUCGGAAAGGGAUUUUUCCCAUUUUUGUGUUUAGGAUUUGUUAUUUUCGUUUGUGGUUUCUAUUUGAUUUGGCUUUUAUUUAAUUUUGGCUUUCGUUUUCUCUUCGAGUCUUCUUGUUUAUUUUCCGUCGCUUUUGAGCAAGAGGUCCGACGCUGUCCUUGAUUAACCCUCAACAAAGGAGGACAACCGGUUUUAGUUUUUAUUUUUAUUUUUUUAUUCUUUUUUUAUGAUUUUUGCAGAUCUACGACGAUCAUCCGCGAGGAUUCGUUCGUUUGGGUCUAAUUUAAUAAAAUCUAUGUUCAUCUAUUAUUUAAUUUAAUUUAACAUACGAUCAUGAUGAUCGUCUGUGGUUUUUAUCAAAUAUUUUUUUGAUAAAAUGUCUAAAUAAGUUUAAUUAAUUUUUUUUAAAAUAAAAAUUUGAAUUUUACUUUUAAAUACAAACUGAUUUUGAUGUAAUAAGUUUAAUUAAUAAUCUAUUUAUUUUUAAACUUUUAAAUAUCAAUAAUUAUAUAAUAUAAUAUCCGUCCAAAGUAUACGAUUAGCUAUUACCAUACGACGGAGCCACAUGCCAAAAUUCUAAUAAACUGUGACGUUCGGUCAUGAAAAUCUUCCAUAAGAGAGGAGAUCCGGUCAUUGUAAAGGUCAAUACUCGGAACAACAGAAAACUCGCCCUUUUAUGACUGGUCGAGUCUUUCUUAACAUUUAAGUUACCAUUAAAAGAUAUUAUACAGCACAUCUCCAUUACGCCUACAAACACGAGAUUUCUUAUCCACUGGCUGGUACUAGUCGGAUUACUAAGAAAAUCACCAACUAACUCCAUUUUCUCACAGUGUAAAAGAAGUAUACACAGAGUUCAAGGUACACAUUAUUGCACACUUUUCUUAAGUUCAAGCAACUUACUUACACUCAUCCUUUCUGAUAAAUUAUUAACUUGAGUGUCAGAGUGAUUGCCAAUAUGCGCCAACCACAUCACUUUCUUUCUUUUGUAGAGUGACCAAUCAUCUUUAGCUCAUUUUCAGCCACAUCAUUUAGUUACAUUACUGAGAUCACCCAUUGAGUUUUCUUGUUCAUUUGGGAUAAAUCCGAUUAGUUUUUUGUUUAUCUUUUCACUCAAAGUGCUUUCCCUCUUUGUCACUUUACCCUUAAAAUGGCUGAAAACUCAUGAGUUGUGGCUAAAUCUAUUACCAACAAAGGAGUCAUCGUCUCCUAUACCCCAGGUAGUGACAGGACACUCCUCUCAUGGUCAAUGAGAUAGACCUCAACAAUCCAAACAAUGAGCAAAUUGUACAAUACAUUAAAAAGCUCCAAGCAACUCUCAAGCAAUAUAAAUCUCGGGAGAAGGCCUCAUUCAUGGCUCCCAGAAUAAGGGAGGAAGUUUCUUUCGAGACCCCAAAGACAUGCAGUCCAAAAGAAAGGCCAAACUAGAAGAUGAGAAAUCAUCAGACGAGACCCCAAAAGAUGUCAAUUGGAAGUAGUACUAGAAGAAGCAAGAUGAAGAUUAUGGUUUGGACAACUCUUCACCCCUAUCAGAGGAAAUUCUUGCAAAGACUUUUCCCACAAAGUUCAAGCUGUCUAGUUUGGACAAAUACGACGGGAUGGUAGACCCUAGGAGUCAUUUGGCUAUCUUCUGAACUACGAUGCAGCUCCAGGAUGUCAAUGAAUUUGUAUUGUGCUGAGUCUUCUCGUCCACUCUCACAGGUUUGGCCUAAAAAUAGUAGCAGCAUUUGAGUUCAAGUUCUAUCUACAAUUUUACACAACUUGCUAUAUUAUUUAAAUCUAAGUUUGCUACUUGUAUAUCUCCUAAAAAAAUCUCCUCCGACUUAUGAAAAAUCCGACAAGGAGAGCGCGAGUCUUUAAGGAGUUUUAUCUCAUGUUUCAAUGUUAAAGCAAUACUGAUUGAAGAAUUGAAUCACGAGAUAGCAUGUGAGGAAUUAAAGAAAAGGACUCGCAACAUAAAAUUUAUGGAUUCGUUAAUCAAGAAUCCAAUAGCCACUUAUUAGCAAUUAAUGGAUAAGGCACAAAAAUACAUUUGGUUGAAUGAUGAAGUCUAGGCGCUAAGAGAGGAUAAGAAGACAUGUCAAAGUAAAACCUAGAAGCCAAAAAGGCAAGGCUACAAAAGAGAUCGGAAGAGGUAUCCCGUGUUUCGAGGGAAAGAAGAUCGAGGUAAGUAAUACACUCCUUUAAAUGACUCACGCACACAUGUUUUGAUGUGGAUUAGAAAAAACGACAAAGAGGUCAAAUGGCCCAUCAAGCUUAACCCAGACAAAGUGAACAUGUGGGACAGAAUAAAGUAUUGUCGAUUUCAUGAAAAUCAUGGGCACACUACAGAAGAAUGCAGGCAACUAAAGGACGAGAUUGAAAGUCUCAUUAGAGAUGAAACUAUAAUGAGAUUUGCUAUAAAAGAUAGAGAAGAAAAAGGGUCAGAGCCUGAGGUAAGAUCACUGGUCAAUCUUGAUGAAAAUGAAUCUGUAGGGGUUAUUCACAUAAUUGCAGGGGAUCAAGUAGCGAUAAGGAAACCAAGGUUUUGUAGAAAUAAAAUGUCAUUAAUAUUCAAUUCCUAAGUCAAAAUCUGAAUCUUUAACAUAGAAGAUCCAAUCCUUAAAAUAGUUUGACAUAACAAGAAGGGAUGCCGAGUCUAGUGAGUUAGGCGAAAACCAGAAGGGACUAUAUAAGGUCUCCAAGGUUAUUCGUCCGAAUGAUUAUAAGUUGGUCAAGUUAGAUGGCUAUGUCAUUUUUUAUUCUUGGAGUAUUGUGUAAUUCAUGGAAAUAUUAUCAAUAAAAUUAUGAUGUAUUUUUCAAUUCUUUUAGUAUUUAAAUUAGAAUUAUCAGAAACGAUAGAUUCAUGAAAGCGUUGGGCUAAAUAAAAUGCCAUAAGGCGGGUAAUCGCCAGGCAAGCCACAAGGCGAGUGACUGCCAAGUGAAUCUUUAGGUAUUAGCCCCAAAAGACAAGGGUUAAGACAAUUUCUAUCAAAAAACGCCACAAGACGAGUGACCAUUAAGCGAGUUUUCGAGUGUUAAUCCUAAAAUAUAAGAAUUAAGGCAAUUUAUGUCAAAGAACACUACAAGGAGAGCAAUCGUCAUACAUAUGACCGAGUUUCAAACCUAUUAAUAAAGUUUAAGGCAUUUUUUGUCUAAACCUCGAGGUGGAUAACUGACAAGCAAAGGUUCGGGUGUUAGCUUAAAUCAUUAAAUAUUUUAAGUUAAUUUUACGCCGUUAUUUUUAUGUUGUUGGUAUCGAUCCUUAUACUUGAUAAAAAUAAAGACGAGAUGAACAAAAUAUUUUCUCAUUAAUGGAGGGAAAAGAUUAUAAAGCAGGAGGGUCUUCUUUGCUAACCCCCUCUUGAGCUCCUAUUAUAUUUUCUACUAUAAUGACAUCUUCAAUUAAAGUCGAAUCGAAAGAAUGGUUGCUAUUUUGCCUCUCCUCUACUUGUUCCUCUUCUUCCUCCUCCUUUGGGAAAAUGUCAUCGAUCCAAGAGAAGUUUUUUGAAGGAUAACGCUUGAUUAGCUCCUUCUUGACAGAAUCUUGGCCUUCCAAAAAUAUUUUCCCACCCCGAGCCACUGUCUAUUGAAGCUCAGCUUCCAGUUCAGCCACCCUAUCUAUGAUGGCUUGGUUCUUUUGAGCAUGAGACUACUGCUCCUGGACUUGCCGUUGAAGGAUAGCCACUUGAUCCUUGGCGGUUUUAGUUCGAUUCUCAAGGGCGAGCUUUGAAGUGUUGGUUUCAUCUAGGUCUGCCUGGAGUUUAUCUACAGACUUGAGGGUCUCGUUCAUUGUGUUCUCUACCUCGGUGAUUCGAGCCUUCAGCCUUAAGUAUUCCUCUCGAAGGAGGUUUUUGUCUGUUUCCUGACUACUGAACUCUCUCCUCAAAGCUUUGUUCCGCUCCUUGGCUAAGUAUGUGCAUAGGAUGCUUUCCAUGGCAGAGUGAAUGAUGUUGUCAUAUAGUUCGUCUAUCUCAACAGCACCCAGACGAUGGCGGUCAUUGGGUCUCAAGGAAUUCUUGGCUAUAAGGAUUAACAACUGGGGUUUCUCAAGAAGCGAGUCCACCUAGGUCAGCGCCAUUGCCAAGUGUUGAAUGCCUUGUGGCCACAGGGCUCCAGUUCUAGCCUCCUCGUAUUGUGCACUGAAUUGAUGGGGCGAUACUAGAGGAACAUCCCUGGAGGAAGACUCGAGUUGGAUGAUAAAUGGCUCAAUUGUAGUUGAGGGUGGAGGAGGAGGAGGAGGCAAAAUGAUAAUCUCUUCUGCCCAUCAUGCCCGUUUUGGAGGAGGGCCCACAGUACUAGUAGUGGACUUUCUUUUUCGGGCAGCACGAGCUACCUUUGCAAACUUGCUCUUUCCUUUACCCGCCAUAUCUGCAUAAAACAGAGAGUGAGCAAGUAAAAUAAUGUAAAGGUAAAAAUGGUUAAAAAGUAAAAUACCUUACUCUGAGGAAGACAAUAAAAUCAUCCUUGGUUUCUGAUAACCGGUUGGCCGAGGCAACUGGGCUCGUUCUAUUUGGAAGUGGCUUUGCCAGGAUAAGGUGGCGUUCCUCACGGCCACGUUAAUGUCCAUUCUGUGGACCGAGGCCAUUUUCUAGAGGAAGUCUAGAGCCUUUUCCUCGUCUCUCUACAGUUGAACUCCACUAUUUGGAAGUGGCUUUGCCAGGAUAAGGUGGCGUUCCUCACGGCCACGUUAAUGUCCAUUCUGUGGACCGAGGCCAUUUUCUAGAGGAAGUCUAGAGCCUUUUCCUCGUCUCUCUAUAGUUGAACUCCACCCUUUUUGAGCUCCACAUAAAUGUUCCAAUCAGUCUGGAGUUGUCUAAAGCCCCCGAACACUCGGUGGUAGACAAUGAAAGACUUAUUUUUUCAAUGUUUCAAGGAAGAGAGGAUAUGGUCAAAGAGAGUCUGACUUUUUUUCGCUGAAGAACCAAAACUCCUUAUUCCUCCGGAUUCCUAGCUAGUAUAGCUGGGAGAAGAGAGCAACUCUCAGAUUGUUAUUAUUAUUGAAGCACACAAAUCGAAAGGCCACGGGAAUCCUCCAACUGUUUGAAUGAAGUUGGGCGACUACAGUUUAUGGAUUUUGAGGAUUUCAAUGAAAAAUGGGUCAAUCGAAAAAUGAAGACCCACCUUCAACUAUUCCUCGUAUACCAUGAUGGUAUCUUGAGCAGUGAUCUGGUCAUUUACGUGAACAUUUAGAUUAGGAGCGGAAAUCAUGAAGAUCUCUUUGGAGAUCUUGUAAUGGUCAUGAAGACUAUCUACGUCCAUCUCAGUUAGCACAAAUGGGAUGUCAUUCACCUGAAGGAUAUCAUUAUCAUGGGCUGACCUCAAUGGAACUACAGGAGCCAGAGCACGAAUGGGGCCGCUGGAGGAAGAGCUGGGGGUUGAACUACAAUGAGAAAAAGAACAAGAAGACAAAGAGGACCUGUUCAUUUCUAAAGUAUGAAAAAAGACAAAAGUAGGAGUUACUUUCAGAAAAUGCAAGAGCCUAAGGCCGAGAGUACUAAUCUUUUCAGAGCAGAAGUGGUGAUCGUAGGCGAAAGGGAGAUUUUAUAUUGUUGUUUCGACAGCUGAUCUAAAUGUGGCUUGAGAAGUAAGGCAAAGCAGUAUUGAUGACUAGUACAGGCGAAAAGAAGUGGAUAUGGAGAAUCAAUUUGUGCAUGUCACAUGUCCAACACCAUGAGAACAGCUAUAAUUUUUGAAUCUGAAGAGUCGAAGUCUGAUGGGAGGACUUCUGAUAUGACACAAUAUUCCCCCAAAAUAUGCCAUUAGCUGUCACCAUACGACAGAGUCACGUGGCAAGACCUUAAUAAACCAUGACAUUCGCACGGAAGUCUCACCCACGAGAGAGGAGAACUUGUCAUUGUAAAGGUCAAUGCUCAAAACGACUGAAGACUAGUCCUCUUAUUACUGGUCGAGCAUUUCUUGUCACCUAAGUUAUCGUUAAAAGAGAUUAUACAACAUAUCCCCAUUACGUCUACAAAUGUGAGGUUUUUUAUCCACUAGCCGAUACUAGUCGGAUUUCUAGAAAAAUCACCAACUAACUCCAUCUUUUUUAGUAUAAAAGAAGUAUACACAGAGUUCAAGAUACGCAUUCUUAUAUACUUUUCUUAAGUUCAAACAACUUAUUUACACUCGCUCUUUCUGAUAAUUACUGACUUAAACGUCAAAGUGGUUGCCCAUAUACAUCAACUACCUCACAUUUUUUCUUUUGCAGAGUAAUCAAUUCAGCUCCUUUUCUACCACAUCAAAAAAUAAAAUCAAUUUUAAAAAAAAUAAACACAGCAAAAUAAUUUUUAAUAUUUAAAAUUUGCAUAAAAUAGAUCACUAUUAAAAAAAUUAAAAAUGUAAUUAUUUAAAUUUGGUUAAUCUUAUCUUUGUCUCUAACUUUGAAUAUAUACUCAAAUUUAUAUUUACUUUUAAAACAUGUUUAAUAUCUAAAAUAUACUAGUUCAUUGAUUGAUGAAUAGUAACAAGCCAAACAACAAGAUUAAUUAAGGCUCAAAGAAAAUAAAGACAAUUUUCUAAAGGAAUUCUAGCAUCCAAGCCCAAAAACUUGACUUAGUAACAGAUCCAAAAAUAAUAUAUGGAGCGCUACUUAUGUUUUAAAACCACUGGCAGUCGAAGGAGAAGGAGACCAUUUAAAGAGAAAGAGAAUUUCAGAACAUAGUCAGGAAGAUAAACUUGUAAAAACACCGACUAGAGACCCAUAAAGAACCUCCAACCACCAAAAGCUUCAAAUACUAUAAGGAACAAGAAUAAGAACUAGAUCUAACCAUUACUGAGGUCACACCAUCAAAGAGAAACGAGGGUUCAACAUCAGAAUCGAGACAAGGCUGCAUCCAGAGUCAAGGAAGGCAACAUGCAAUCCAAAAAUAGCAAGAGAAGUAACCAAAACAGUGAACUAACUAAGCAAAUCUAACCUUAGUGGGAAAGGAGCCGACAAAAAGAAAUGAAGAGUCCUUUCUUAAGAUUAGAGCGACUACUUCACUUAGGAUAAUGGGGAGCGAUAUGUAAUCCAAAUAAAAAAGUAGGGCUACCGCCUUGCUCCACCCCUGAAAGAAAAAAAUUAUAAGAGCACCAUAAUUGAGCAACUCCAACAUGAAAAAGGCAACAAAAAAAAAAAACAAAAAAGAAAAACAAAAACAAAAAUUGACAACCCAACAGAAACUCUCAACUAAGUCUCAUUGCCAACAACAUCAAAACAAGAAAGUAUUUACACUCCACUCAAUAAUGGGAGAAAAAACCCAAAUCGGGAAGAGGGAGGCUCCUAGACCGGAAGGGUAAAAAAGCUUUUAAAAGGCAUAAGCACUAAUAAACCCGAAAAAAGGACUAAAUUAAAGAGAGAAAAAAAAAACUCUCUGGCUAAUGGAGAAAUGAAGCUUUUUGAAAACAUGUUAAACUUUAAUUUAAGUGUUAUUAAAAUCUAUAUUACCUACUAUAUUGACAUAAAUUUUCUUUUAUUAUUUAUAUUUUAAUUAUUUAAAAAAUAAUUUUCAUUUUUUAAGUAAUAUUAAAUUUUUGUAAUUACUUUUUGUAAUCAUUUUGGCUCUACAUUUCAAAAAAAAAAUUAAAAAAAUAUAUAUUUUUUAUUUUUUUAGUGUUUAGAAAUCUCAAAAAAUUUAAUUAAUGAAAAUUUUUUUUAAUUAAAUAAAAAAAUAAUUUAUUCUUUUAAAAAAAAUCAUUUUUUACAUGUUGAGACUCUUAUAAAGCUUUAUAUAUAAAUUUAUUAAUAAAUUUUAUUUUUUAAAUUAAAAUUAAAUAAUAAAAAAUAAGUUAUUUCAUUAAAAAAAUAUUUUUUUAAAUAUAAAUUAUUUUCAUAAAUAAAAUAACUAAACGUAUGAUUUUAUAAAAUUUAAAAAUAUUUUAAUUAAGUUAUUUUGAAUUAUAAAUGAGAUAAUGAAUUUUUAAAAUAUAAGGUUAUGAUAGUAAUUUUUAUUUAUAUUAUUAAAAAAUUGGCUAAAACCUACCGUGCACGUGUAAUCACAUGGACCCUACCCAUCUAAAGCAUACGGAUAUAAUUUAUCUAUUCUUUUUUUGUUUUAUUUUGUUCCUUUCAAUGAAGCAAUUUGCCGACAUCAUCAUCGAGCGAAGGUUAUUUUCUAUAGUUACUUAGUUUUAUAUAAAUAAAUUUAUUUAAUUUAGAAUAAAUUUACUUAAAUAAAAAAUAAAUGUGAUUUAAUAUAAUCUAGAAUUGAUCUCUUGAUUUUGUAAUAUGAUAAUUUAUAAAUUAAAUAAAUUACAAAAAUAUUUUCAAUUUAAAAGAGAAAAGUAAAGUUUUAUUUUGGAAAAAAUUGUGAUAUUUUUUUAAAAAAAAAUCAAAUUGAUAAGCACGGCCAUGGCCGGACAAAGGUCGAGUGUUUGGAUAUUUGAUGCAAUUAGGGGUUUUCAUAGAAACGUGGCUUCUUUUGGUUUAGCUUUCAUGGCCCAAUCAGGCACAGCCACUCGUCAUUCAAAUGUUUAAUGCAAAGUGUAGUGCCCUGCCCUCCACACUACACUUUAUAUUUUUUAUUUAAUUAAUUAUUUAUGCAAACAAAUUUAGACUUAUCGAGCGCAUAAAUCGGUUUGAAUUGAAAAACUGAAUCGAGCCGAUUAAUUUUGGUUUAAUGGUUCGGUUAAUUAAAAGGUUCGGUUCAGUUCGGUUAGUAUUUUUCAAUUUAUUCGAUUUUCAGUUCGAUUCGAUUUAAACGUGUUAAAUAAUUGAAAAACUGAAAAACCGAUUUUAUAUAUAGAAAUACUAAUUUUAUAUAUUUUUAAAUUUUAUAUGAAUUUUUAUGGAUUUUUUAAAUAUUAUUAUUAUGUAUUCAAACAAUAUGUAUUGAUAAAUUUAUGUGAAAUAUUUAUUAAAUUAUUCUACUGAAAUUAAAAGUAAAAAAUUAAAAAAAUUACAGAUUUUUAUUUAAAUCAAAUCGAUUUUUAUCAGUUCGAUUCGGUUUGAUUAUAUUUUUAUAAUCAAUUUUUUUAAUUUUUAAUAUUUUUAUACUUCAGUGUUCGGUUUUUUCGAUUUGAUUUAAUUCGAAAUCAAACCGACCGAUUGCAGAGCCCUACUCAUCACGUAAAAUCUAAAUUCAAAACUAAAUUUUUUUUUUUUAAUUUAAAUUUAUCUCAAAUAUAAGAUAUCCAAAUCCACCACAGAAGUGGAAAGUCAUAUCAUGGUUAUCGCAUUAUCUAAUACAGUUCCUAUCACUGUCUGACCUUAUGCAGUUUUGAUAAUUUUUUAAAUAAUAAUUUCUUAAUUUCUUAUAUUUUAUGUAAUCCGAUUCUACAUAAAUUUUUUUAUUUUUUAUUAUAUUAAAAUAUCUUUUUAAUAUAUAUAUAAAUAAAGUAAAUAAAAAUUAUGAGAUUUAUAAAGUAAUAAAUUUAUUAUUUAUAAUUUUAAGUGUUUAUUUUAUUUUCUAACCAAAGUUAGACAUUGUUUAAAAAUAAUUUUUAUCAAAGUGAGAUAUUUAUUUUAAAAUUUUAUAAAAUAAUAAUACCCUUUGCUAUGACAGCUGAGGAAAAGGUGAGUAUCUGGGGAGUGGAUAUACCGUUUGCCGACACCUUCAAUUCCACUGCUAUUAUGUGGACGCCACUCCACCGUCCAUAUUGAAUCGGACCCACCAGCUCAAUCAAUCCACUUCCUGUCAGUUCAAUUAAAUUAGGUUGUGUUGGGUUAUGUUUUUUUUUAAAAAAAAAAAAUUAGAUAAAAAAUUUAAAUAUUUAUUAAUUUUUAUAUUUAUAUCUUAAUUUUAAAAUUUUAAAUAAUAAAAAUAAUACUUUCAUAUUUAUCUUAAUUUUAACUAUAUACUUUAAUCAAUUUUAAUUAAAAAAUUUUUAAUUCACAUUUUUAAUUCACUCUAAAAUUAUUUUUUAAAAUAUCUAUUAAAUAAAAAAAACAAAACAUUUACAUUAAUUCAUAUUUAUAUUUAAAUUAUUAUCUAAAAUUUUUUUUAUCACCUCUUAAUUAUAAUAAAGAGAAAUAAAUUAAAUAUAAAAAUUAUUAAAAAAUUACAAUAUAAUUUUUAAAAUUUUAUUUAAAUAAUAAAAUAAUCUUUAAAAUACAUAUUUUUACUUUAACAAUAUUCUUUUUUUAUUAAUCUCAUUAUUUAUUUUUCAUUAUCAUUUAUAUAUAUAUAUAUAUAAAUAUAAAUGAUAAUGAAAAAUAAAANNNNNNNNNNNNNNNNNNNNNNNNNNNNNNNNNNNNNNNNNNNNNNNNNNNNNNNNNNNNNNNNNNNNNNNNNNNNNNNNNNNNNNNNNNNNNNNNNNNNNNNNNNNNNNNNNNNNNNNNNNNNNNNNNNNNNNNNNNNNNNNNNNNNNNNNNNNNNNNNNNNNNNNNNNNNNNNNNNNNNNNNNNNNNNNNAUAUGUAAUAUUUAUAUACUAUACUUCAUAUGGUGAAAAUUUAUUUAUAAUAAAUAUUUAUUUAAUAUUAUAUAUAAUAAAUACAAAGUAAAUUUACUUUUAAUAUAAAAUUUAAAUUAAAAAAUUAUAUGUUUAUUAAUAUAACAAGAGAUUAUAUUAUAAUUUAUUAUUAAUUUUUUUUAAAUUUAAUUUAAUCUUUAAAUUAUAAUUAUGAUCGAUCGACAAAGAUUUAAUUUUAUUAUAUAAAUAUUUAAAAUUUUAGAUAUAAAUAUAAAUUAAUGGUUUGAAUUUUUUUAUUCAAUAAAUCUUUUAAAAAAUAAUUUUAUAUACUAUAAUUUUUUUAUUAAAAUUAGUUGAGACAAACGCCUAAAAUUAAGAAAUAUAAAAAAAUUAAUUUUAUUAUCUAAAAUUUUAUUGCUGGAAAAAAUUUGUUUUCUAAUAAUUAUUAAAUUUAUAUAGUAUUAAAUAAUUUAUUAUUUAAAAUUUUAAUUUUAAAAAUAUUUAAAAUAUUAUUACAAUUUUUAAAAAUUUAUUAAUUAAUCUUUUUUUAUUUUAACUAUUUGAAAAAAAAUUUUAAAAUACUCUUAAUUAGAAAGAUUAAUAAAUUUAUAUUUUUAUAAAUUCAAAAAAUUAAUUAAUUAAUUAUUUUAUGUUAUAAAUAUUAAAUAAUAAAAUAUUUAAAAUUAAUGAAUAAUUGAUUAAUGGAUUUUUUAAUACUUCAUUGGCGUUUUUAAUGUGCUUUCAAAAUUAAAUAAUUAACUAAUAAAUUUUUUUAUAUUACAAAAAUUAAAUAAUAAAUUAUUUUUUAUUUUUUAUCUUUUAUUUAAUAAAAUAAAAAUGUAUAGUUUGUUAAUAUUCUUACUUAUUAGAAAAUGAUUUUUAAGUAAAAGAACUCAAAACUGAAAAUUGUAAAUAUUUAUUAAAAUAUUUUUUAAAAUAUUAAAAAUAUAUCAACCAAUUAUUUUAUUAAUUUUAAUUGUUGAAUAUUUUGCUAUUGAGUACAUAUUAUAAAGAAAAACUCAAUAAUUAUUUUUUAAUUUUUUAAAAAUAUUUACUAAUUAAACUUUUGUAUAAUAUUAUUUUAAAAUUUUUUUAUAAUAUUUAAGCGUUAAAAUAUUUUAAUAUAUUUUUUAAAAUCAAUAUAUUAAUUAAUGAAUUUGCAUUUAAUUUAAAUAAAUAAUAAAAAUAAAAAUUGCUUUUAAUUUAAAAAAAAUAAAAAUCCUAUAGUGUUAUAAAAAUAUCAUUAGUUAAUUAAUUUUUUUAUCAAUAAAUAUUUAGAGAGGGAGAUGAAAAUCAAAUUCUCAUUACCAGUAAGUUUUCAGAUAUACUUUAUUAACCUAUUUAAUAAUAUAACAAAUAUUUAUUAUCAAUAAAAUAUUUUCAUUUGAUUUGUUCUACUUAAUGUCCUAAACAAUAAAAAAUAUGCAAAAUAUUUUUUUUAAAAAUGUUUACAUAAAUAAUAAUUUAUUUUCUAUAAUGCAAUUUAAAGAAUAAAAAAUAUUAUAAAGUUAUAUAGUAAUUUAUAAAAAAAAUUGUCAAAAAACAGAAACUGAAUUAUUUUUUAAGAAACAAUAUUAUUUUUUCAAAAAAAUUAAUAUCUCAUUUGUUAAUAAUAUAUUUUUUAUUAAUUAUUUUUUUUAGUGUAUCAAAUAUUAAAAAUAUAAAAAUAAAUUUAUAAAUAAAAUCAAUGGAUACUAAAAUCCACUUUUAUUUAUUUUUUAAAAGAAAUAAUUAAUUAUCUUCCCACAUUUUCGGUUAGAAACUGAAAACUUCUUCAGAAGUGGAUAAUGAUCCGUCAACUCCACAAGUCCUAAGACCUGGGCCAAAUCGCCCAUGUCGUUUUGUCCUUUUAUUUGAUCUUUCUUUUUUCUUUCUUUUUUCAGCCAAAAAAAAAAUAUUUCGAGAAUAAAUUGUUAAGAUUUUUUUCCCGAAGAAAUUGAAAAAUAAAAAAUAAAGGUAAGAGAUUUUUUUUUUUUCCCUUUUAAAAUUUGAUAGAAAAUUCAACCAUAAGUAGAAAAUUGAAAUAGAUAUGCUUUGGGAAGAACCAGGCUUCCAUCGCUUAUAAAUAGCCUCCACACCUGCAAUGUCUCUCUCUCACAACACACCAUACCACAACCCAAAUCCUUCUAUUUGUCUCUUUUCUUGUGCUUAUUGCUUGAAUCACCACCAUGGCCGAAGAAAAGCACCGCCACCACCUCUUUCAUCGCAAUAAGGACGAGGAGAAACCCACUGGGGCCGCUGAUGUCUACUCUCAGACUUCUGAGUUCUCUGAGAUUACGGAUUAUCCUAGCAGCUAUAAGACUUCUGAGUUCUCUGAGACUACGGAUUAUCCUAGCAGCUAUAACUCACCACCUGAUGCUCCAGACUACGAAAAAGAAGAGAAGCAACACAAGCGUCGCGAGCAUUUGGGCGAACUCGG
rnacentral:lncRNA from 1 species